rnacentral:lncRNA from 1 species
GCGAAGGUGGUGGGAGGCGGCGGGCGGGAGCGCAGGUCUGGCCGGCCCUGGCGAUGGCGGACGCGGCGGCCUCCCCGGUGGGCAAGCGGCUGCUGCUUCUGUUCGCGGACACCGCGGCCUCAGCUUCAGCCUCGGCCCCCGCGGCGGCGGUGGCGAGCGGAGAUCCGGGGCCUGCGCUGCGCACUCGGGCCUGGCGGGCCGGCACGGUGCGGGCCAUGAGCGGGGCGGUGCCCCAGGACCUAGCGGUGAGUGGCGGUCGAGACGUGCACUCGAGGCCGGGGCUGCAGGGCCUGUGGGCGGCCUCCCCGGGGGCCUUUGUGAGGGGGCGGUGUGGUGGGGGUGACCCAGUUCCUCACCCCCGGAUCUCCUUAGCGCCCCCCGCCGGCACUUCGGCACCCCGAGCUCUGGCCUGCAUGGCUUCCGCGUCGGGGUGCGCGCCCCAGUUAACCCCCGGAGGGCGGCCUGGGUGCCAGGAGCUGCUGCUUUUAGCCGGCAGGCCCCGCCUCCUGAGCGACCCUUUGCUAGGCGUCCCCUCCCCGCACCCCCCCUCCCGCAACACGCCUUCCGAGCAGGCUUUCGAACCUUGGUGCCGGGGCCCCGCAGAGUUCGGCCGGUGCUGCCGCUUUCCCCUAGAAAACGCGGACCUGUAAUCCCCAGGUUCUCCCCGGAGACCUGCGCCCUGUUCCCUUCCUCCCGGAGUCUCUAGUGGGGCGAGAAUGUGGGCAGUUGUAGGAAGGCAGUUGGAGCUGCUUGGGGCUUUUUUAUCUGGCAGUUACUUCCUCCUUGUCUGAGCCGUGCUGGGCCUGGCGCUCUUCAGAAAGACCAGCUCUCAGGACUGUUUAGAGCUCCCCUAUCUUUGCGCUUCUGGGUGACAGGAGCUGCUGUUGUGGCUUUUUGAUAAGUUUGAGAUCUGACUUAGUCGAAUGGGGCUGCAGGGUGGUGCUUUUUUGCUCCCAGCUUGUCUGUUCCCCCAACCUUGAGAGAGGUUUUGUUUUGAAACUUUGUCGGGGCUUGGCUGCUUUUGCACGCUUGCCUUCAUGUAUUUUGUGAUUAAAGUUGUUCAGCAAAAAACUUUGCCAGCAUUGGGGACCAUAAUGUGUUAGUUUUGUUAAUGUGGCGGCAAAAUACUGUCUUUGAGUUUUAGCCAACCUCAAUAGUUCCUCAUUCUGGUAGCGUAGCCCUAGCCUUCUCUGGUGAGAUAAGGCUAAGAAAAAUGGGGGCGGGGGACUUUUUGGAAUGUAAAGGAUCAACAAGCCGAAUGUAAAUGUUGAUGAAUUUCCUUCUGCAGACCUUUUCUUAGCUCUAAACGGGAACUCAUUUUGUGAGAGUGGGAGUAAUGUUUCUGAUGUUUUUCUAUUGAUCAACAGUGUUAAACUGUCUUUUAUUAUGAUACACAAGCUUUAUGGGUAGUUUUGCUUAGGUUUUGAUUCUGCUUCUUGAGUUCCCUUGCUUUGAUUUUUCUCCAUGCCCUAUAAGAAAGGCUGGUAGGGCAUUUAUGAAGCUUUAGUGGGGCGAAUUUGUAAAAAGAUACCAGGAAUAUAAGGGAGAGAGGGGGAUCCAUGGUUAAGACAGGAAUUUGGAUAUAAAUUCUUCUGUGCUUUCUUUAGAAGGUGACUGGGAUGGGGGAGAGGUAUGCUUCUUAGAUUCAGUAAUUCACCCUGGUAAGCAAAACGUACUUGAGUUUCACCCUUAUGUGCAUUCUUUGACCAGAGGCAUCCUCAGCUCUCUUUUCAGUUGGGAUUUUAUUUUCUAAUUCUUCCAAUGGUUGUUUCCUCCAUCAGUUGAAUUGCUAAUGAGCUCUGCACCUGAAAUGGCUGCCCAUUCACUUUGUUGUUUGCUGGGCUCCCUAAGGGCAGAGGUGUUUGAAGCUCAUUGAGAUGCUGGACAACAUCUAAGCUAAAUACUGAAUAAUUUUACCACUGGGCACGUGGAACUGGGUUAUCAAUCCGUAUUAAAAAAAGCAAAAUGUUCUUACAAACUGUUGAAUUCUUAUAUGAGGCCAUGAAUUUAGAAGCAAAGGCAAGUUUGAGUUUUGCAAAUACAUUUGUGCUUGUCUUGUACAUAUAUCCAAGGGGCGUUAAUGAGAAAACAGCCAUAACAAAACUCAGAGCCUUUUUAUUUUAUUUUAUUUUUACCAGCUUGCUACCCAAGAAUUGCUGUUAUGUUGAGGUCCUAUUAAUGACAGUGACUAGUAGAGGAUCAGAACUAGCAGUUUUGUUUUCCUUUUUCAUUGAAAUUUCCUUUGGACCCUGGGCAUGUGGACCUUUCCAAUUUGCACCACACACUGUAGUAAACACAACUAUCUUCCAAUCACAAGUGUUCUUCCUGUACUCAACGGUGGAGUUUGCAAGCAGCUGCCUCACGAUUGGACAGAUUUUCUUUCAGUUAUGUUUAAGAUGUUUUCAGGCAUGCUUGGUUUUGAGUAAUACAAGGCAGGGCGCCCCCUGUUAAGGAUGAGUAAUUGAGGGUUGGAUUGAAAUGAUUAAAAAACAUACUUUUCAAUUUUAAUCUCCAUUAAUAUCUUCUUCUAAAUACUUUUUGAUUCUAAAGUCAUUCAAAAUACUGAUAUAUUUAAAGAAACCUUUAUUGGGAAACAAUACCAAACCCAUGGGCUACCUUAAAUGUGAUGUGAAAAAAGUUAAUUCAGGAUGCUGUUGGUUGGGAAUUUUGUUGGUAAUGAUCUUAUAGAUGGCCCUCUUACCCAUUAAAUCUUUCCUGAGAAAUAACUAUUAAGAUUUUUAGCCAAAAAUAGAAAAACACCCCCCACCCAGUGGAAUAACAGCUUUGUUAUUAAAAUUAGGCCUUUUAUGUUUAAAAAGAGAAAAGUCCUGUUGCAGAAAUAAGUUUCAUGGAUUUUUAUGCAUUUAUCCCUGGUUCCUCUCUAAACCAGUUGUCCAGUUUGUGUUUCUAAGUCAUUUAUUGAUUGAGGUAAGUCGUGUAGACCUUGGGAUCUUCACAGUGUGUAGGUACAAUAGCUAAAACAGACAACAAUCCCCCUCCCCCCCCCAAAAAAAAAAACCCACCAAAAACAUGGAUUUAAAUUUUUUUUUUUUUUUUAGUUGUAGUUGGACCCAAUACCUUUAUUUUAUUUAUUUAUUUUUAUGUGGUGCUGAGGAUCGAACCUAGGGCCUCACUAGGUGAGUGCUCUACUGCUGAGCCACAACCCCAUCCCCUGAAUUUUCCUUUUUGUUGAUAUAAAAACAAAACUUGCUAUUUGCAAAGUGUUAAAACGGUUAUUCACAUGAAAAUUCAUCAGUCUCCAUCUCUAUAUGCCCUAGUUUGCUAAAAAGGGUAAGUUAUCUUUACUAGUCUUUAUUAAUACUUAUACAAAAUAUGAAAACGUGUAUACAAAAUAUUGCUUUUUUUUUUUUUAAAGUAAAUGAUACCUUCCUGUACCAUAUCUGCAGGCUGCUUUUUGUUUUUCCUUUCAUUUUAUUUUAUUUUUUAGUUGUUGAUGAACCUUUAUUUUAAUAAUUUACUUAUUUAUAUGUGGUGCUGAGAAUCAAACCCAGUACCUCACACAUGCUAGGCAAGUGCUCUACCACUGAACCGCAACCCCAGCCCUUGUUUUUUUUUUAAUAUUUAUUUUUUAGUUGUAGUUGUUAAUACCUUUAUUUUUUUAUGUGGUGCUGAGGAUUGAACCCAGGGCCUUGAAUGCGCUAGGCGAGCGCUCUACUGCUGAGCCACAACCCCAGCACCCCCAGCCCUUGUUUGUCCUUCUUAAUUUAACAUUAUACCAUAGGCAUUUAUAGUGACAUACUUUAACCAUCACCCCCAAGUCCACCUACCGGCCCCCACCUCAGGAAUCCAGGGUCUCUCAAGUGAGAGGAAAGUACUCUAUAUACUGAGCAAUGCCAAAAACAUUUUUGAUAAGUCCUUUAUAUUCCAUAGAAAGGAUGUACCAUAACUUACUCAUUCUUCCUUUUGGCAAACAUUCAAGUUGUUUAAAAGUUUUUGGGGGCACUAAAAACAAUGCUACCAUUAAUAUACUUGUACAUAUAGCUUUAAGUGAUCUAGAUUUCCUUUUGUAUUUUGGACAUCCACAAUUGGGACAGUUAGGUUGAAUAUAUGUGUUUUGAUGUUGUUUUGCCUCUUUUGUUUUGUUUUCCUUUUGUAGUACUAGGUUUUGAACCCAGGUGCUCUAUUCUACCACUGAACUAUGUCCCCAGUUCUUUUUUUUUUUUUUUUUUAAUUUUUUAAAAUUUUGAGAUGAGCUCUCACUAAGUUGCUAAGGCUAGAAUUGAACUUGUGAUCCUCCUGCCUCUGCCACCUGAAACACUGAUAUGACAGGUGUAUACUAUUGUACCUGGCCAAAAAUGUCUUUUUCUUUUUUCUUUUCCUGUUGUGUGUGUCUGUGCACCUGCACAUACAUGCUCAUGCACAUUGUUAGGGAUUAAACCAGGGCCUCCUGCAUGUUAGGUAAGUACUCUACCAUUGAGCUGUGCCUCCAGUCCUGUAUUACAGGUUAUUUUCCUACACAUGAUAACAUUUCAGCCUCACCAACAGCAAGUGUAUAUACUGUUUCCUUCACCAGUAUCAUCAGUCUUUUUCAUUUUUGCCAGUCUGAUAAGUGAAAAUAGUAUCUAGCAUUUUCAUGACUACUGUUUUCUUUUCCUCUGAGUAUUAACCUUUUAUGUUUCUUUUUUUUUUUCUAUUUUUAAGCUAUUUAUGUGUAUCUUUUGCCCAUUUGAGAAAAAUGUAGAUUGUCCUAUCACUUUAUCAGUUCUGUGCAUGGAUUAAAUUACCUGUCUAUAGAGUGUUAUACUUAUUUUGUCUCAGUUGUUUUUUGACUUUGUUUAUCGGUUUCUUUUCAUACAAAGUCUUUUUCUUAAUUUGUUCUUUUUAGAGAUACAUGACAGUAGAGUGUAUUUUGACAUAUUAUACAUACAUGGAGUGUAACUUAUUCUGAGGAUCUCAUUGUUCUGGUGCAAAUAUAGUUCUUAUUCAUCCGAACAAUAUGCUUGUAAAGGACUUCUCCAUGUUAAAUUUUUAUAUUCUUUGUGUGUGUGGUGCUGGGGAUUGAAUCCAGGGCCUCUUGCAUGCUAAGCAGGUGCUCUACCACUGAGCUAUAUUCCUGGCCCUUUUUACAUUUUAUUAUAUUGAGACAGUGCUUCACAAAGUUGCCCGGAUUGGCCUUGGCCUUAAAAAUCCCUCUGCCUCAGUCUUCGAAGUAGCUGGGAUUACAGGCAUGCACCAAAAUGCCCAUUUUAGAACUCUUCUUCAAAUUUCCUAAUAAUUUCAUUUAUUUUUAUCUUUGGAUCUUUGAUCCAUCUGGAAUCUUGUUUUAGUUGGCAUGUGAAAAGGGGGAUAACUUUUUUUAUUCCUACUAAGUAACCAAUUGUGUCAGCACUAAUUUUUAUUAAAUCUUUCUUGCUGUGUGGUAGAAUUAAAUGAUGCUAUAAGUGCAGCAUUGAUUUGUUUUGAAUGUGUAACAUAGACAUCUAGAACUUGAAAGAGCAAGUGGAAGUAUAUCUGCCUUAAUUUUUUAUCCCUUAAUCUUUCAUCUCCAUUUCAGAGGAAGAGGGACUCUAAAAUAUUCCUUUCUUUUGAUUGGAGAUAAUGCAAUAAUUGUAGCAGUGUUCAGGCUAGUACUGUGUUAUUUCAGUCUGGAAGUUUUCCAAGAGGAAUGAAAGUGUAUCUGCCUUAUUUUUUUACAUCAACCUUUCACUUUGUCUCAGGAUGUAGAAUAGGUAGACUCCAAAAUACCUGUCUACCUUGUUUCUAAGUAAUGUAAUUAUAGUCAUAUACCAUAUUUCUAGUGUAGAAUCCAUUCUUUAUUUUCUACCUAUGUUCAAGCCUAGAAUUUCAGACCUAAUCAAAAUGGAGUUUGUGGCUUUUAAAAUGGUUAUCUUUAAGUGUCCUUUUUUUACCAUUUCAAACGUUAAAUAAAAAUAUGAGUGCUAUACAAGGCCUGGGGUUUGAUUCCCCAGCCCCCCCCACCCCCCCAAUAUACACAUACACACAAAAACAUAUUUGAUAUCAUGACAUCUUAUGCUGUUUUUUAUGGCUUAUAGAACUUUAAAUAAAAAUGAUUGUACUUAUUUGAUGAUAAGAAUGUAUACUAUUCAAUUGUCACCUCCUCUAAGCACAAGUAUCUUAACUCUAAUUUUUUUUCUUAAUUAUUUUUGAGAGAGAUUCUCACUGUGUUGCCCAAGCUGGCCUCUGAACUACUAGGCUCAAGGGAUCCCCCUGAUUCAGUCUUUCGAGUAGCUGGGAGUAUAGGGUGUGCUACCACGCCUGACAAAGUUCAUUUUAAAAAAUAUAUGUUUUUUUUGUUGUUGUUGUUUGUACUGGAGACUGAACCCAGGGGAGUUUACUAAUGAUCAACAUCCCCAGCUUUUUUUUUUUUUUUAACUUUUGAGAUAGGGUCUCACUAAGUUACUGAGGUUGGCCUCAAACUUGGAAGUCCUCCUGCCUAAGCCUCCUAAGUUGCUAGCAUUACAAACAUGUGUUCCCAGGUUUGGCUUUUAUGUGUGGUUUUUAAUAACUCAUGUCUUUUUAAUUUUUAUUUUUUGGGGUGCUGCGGAUUGAGCCCAGGGCUUUGUACCAACCACACACUCUACCACUGAAGUAGAACCCCAGCCCCUAAAAGCUCUAUCUUAAUUUAUCUCUGCAUUCUUCUUCAGGGCUAUACAAUAUGUACACCAAUGAUCAUACUAUACAUUGGUCAUUUUGUCUUACAUUCUCUCUUUUUACUACACGGUCAGAUUUUUCCUCUUAAUUAUCCAUUUGUUUGUAAGAACUUGCUUCACUAACUUCCCACCUGCCUAGGGCUCAUUCCCUAGUAUACUACUUUUACUUGCUUGCUUCUCAUUCCAACCUUUUCUGGUUGAUUUUGUUUUUCCUCUAUAAACAAAUGGUAGGUAAGAAACAUGACAUUUUCUGUUGUUGGUGAUUUUCUUAACAACAGCUGGGGUGGGUUCCUAUAGUCUUAGCUUCCUCAAGGCCUAGGGGACAUAACACCUGUUGUUGCUUCUCAGUUUUCCAUUGCCUUUGACAGAUUGGUUUUUUAUUUUUUUGUUUUUUGUUUUGUUUUAAUUGUAGAUGGACCUUUAUUUUUAUUGGUGCUGAGACAUGAACCCAGUGCCUCACACAUACAAGGCAAGAGCUCUACCGCUGAGCCACAAUCCCAGCCCCUGGAUUGGUGAUUUUAAAACCCUCCCAAAUCUGCCAUCCACCCGUACUGCCAAAAUAUAAAAAAUGUGCCUGGUUGGUUGGUCGGUUAUUUAUUUAUUUAUUUAUUUAUUUGUUUAUUGGUACUGGGGAUUGAACCCAGUACCAAUAAAUAAAUAAAUAAUCACUGAGCUACAUUGCCAGCCCUUUUUUUAAAUUUUGAGACAGGAUCUCACUAAGUUUCUGAGACUAGCCUGGAAUUUACCAUCCUCCUGCCUCAAUCAUCCAGGAUGCUAGGAUUAUAAGUGUGCAGCACCAUGCCCAGCUCUUCCUAAGUUUUUAGCAGUGACUUUCUACUGCUGGUUGUUUAGGUGUGACUUCUCUCAAUUUUGCAAGAGCAGAAACUCCUUUGUGUGUGUGUGUGUAUGUGUGUGUGUGUGUGUCUGUGUGGAAGUAAUAAGGCUCUAGGGGACAGACUCACUAACCAAACCCUCUGGAGACUAAAUCAAAAAUCCAUAUGCAGAGUUAUUAAUUUUCAGUGGGAGAUAUAUCUAUACAGAGACCUGCAUGAGAGCUCACACCUGUUCUACUCAAGAGACAAAUUAUAGAUAAGAAGUAUCCUUGGUGUGCAGAGAGUCAGGGGAGGGAAAAUUGGGUGUGGCAAAAAGGAUAUUUACAGCAGCAGCCCUAUUUGGUGAUUCUCCACUUUCCUGGUAUUUAGGGGCUUCCAUUGCUUUACCAUUUGCUUUUAAUGUUGUCAUCCACUGAAAUCCCAUGAAGAGGAAGAAACCCUGCCCAUCCUUCCAGUCUGUCCAUUUUAGGAGCUGCUGCCUCUAUAAAGUCUUUCUGAGUCCUCACCAUAUUGCUUUUAUUCUUUGCUCCUUUAGCACACUUUUGGACUAUUAUUUUAGUUUUUAUUGUUGUAGCUGUAUAGCAAGAGAAAUAGGUUGCUUAUCUCUUACAUAGAUUGAAAGUUCCUGGAAGACAGAGAACACCUGAAUUUUUCUAGUACUAUUUUAUAAGGCCUUCUCUGACCACCCUAUCUAAAAAAAUAAAAUAUUUAGAAGCCUAUAUUAAGUUUACAUUCACUUCUGAUUUUUAUGGAAUUCUACACCAUGGCCCUGAAAAUAAGGUAUUUAGUCCUUUUUUUUUCUUUUACAUAUUUUUAUUAAUAUAUAGACUUAGCAACUAAUUUUGUCUUGGUGUUAUUGGAUCAUGUUUGGGACUCCAACCCAAGCUACAUUGUCUCUUGUUUUUUGUGAUUUACAUCUGGAUUGUUUUCUUAGAUUGGAAGCAUUUGAUAUUCUAUAUUUCUGAUUCUAAAGUAAUACCUGCCUAUUAUACAAAAUGUAUAAGUCUUUUCUUUUUUAACUUUAUUUCUUUAUGUGGUGCUGAGGAUUGAACCAACCCAGUACCUUAUACAUGCUAGGCAAACAUUCUACCACUAAACCACAACCCCAGACUCACAAAGGGUAGAAAUCAUUUUAACAAUAUUAUGAAGAAAGGGGGGGAAAAAAAAAAACUAGACCCUGUAGUCUCACAACCUAUUAGGAACUACUGUUUAUAUUUUGAUAUAUGAUCUAAUCUUAUUUCUGAAGUCCUUGGUGAAGGCUCCAUCCCAGGUGAUUCCAACAGACCAUGCUUUGCAACCCUUCCCAGUGUGACUGGUAAUCAAAAAAACAGCAGUGAUGAAAGGCAAGAAAAGAGUUUUUAAGCUGUGUGGCUACACCUGAGGUUUUAUAGAAAAAUGGAAGAAAGUCAAGUUUGGGGGGCUUGAAUGCCUGAGGCAUUUAUAUUGAUGGUAUAAUUGGUUGUUCUUGGUUAUUCUUGGUCUGAUUGAUCUUUCUCAUCAAUGCUUGAUGGGGUGAUUUGAUUUGCAUCCUGGGAUGAUUCCUCCUCUGGGGUGCAGUCUCAUUUUAGGGUGAUCUGUUCCUGGGAGGCUUGCUGUAGCUUGGGGAUGGUUUCUACUCCUCGUCUUAUAGGUGCUUAUCAACAAGACUAUAAUUCCUGGAAUCCAAGGUGUAACUGUAGAAGAAAGGGCCUCAGAAGGAAAAAAGUAUAAAAGGCAAAUGGAGUUAGAAAAGGACAAAAUGGAGUUGGUUAGGUCAGUGACUAGGUUCUCCUUCAAUCUUUUUUUUUUUUUUUUUAAAUUUUAGAAAAAGUAUAGUUGAAUUCAUACUGCAUUUCUUUUUUAAAGAGAGAGAUUUUUAAAAAUAUUUUUAUUUUUCGGUGGACACACAUCUUUAUUUUACUUAUUUUUUUAUGUGGUGCUGAGGAUUGAACCCAGCGCCCCGCGCAUGCCAGGCGAGCACCCUACUGCUUGAGCCACAUCCCCAGCCCCUCAUACUGCAUUUUUUAAUUUAGAGAUUUGCUUUUCAUUUAAUGUGGCAAUUAUUUUUAUUAUCAAAAACUUAGUUUAUGGUGAUUUUAACUUUCUUGGUGUUUUUCUCAAUUUUUCACAAAUAUUAUAUUGCUUUCAUUACUGAAAGUAAAACAAUAAAUGCUCUGUAAGAAUAUCUUAUGGCUUCAGGCAUGAUGGUGCACACCUGUAAUUCCAGCAACUUGGGAGGCUAAAGCAGGAGGAUCACAAAUUGGAGGCCAGUCUCAGUAAAUUGGUGAAAUCCUGUUUAAAAAAAAAAAAAAAAAACAUAAAAAAGAGGCUAGUGAUGUAAUUCAGUGGUAAAACGCCCCUGGGUUUAAUCCCCAGUACCGAAAAAUAUGUCUUAUGGCUGGGCAUAGUGGACACAGGAUUCUAAGGCGGGAUAAUGCUAGUCCCCAGAAAUUCAAGGCCAGCCCAUUGCAACGUACAACAUUCGAAAAAGCAAAAAACAAAGAUCUUAUGAAUGUAUUUUUUGGCUCAGUGAUUUAACUUUUUUUUUUUUUUUUUAAGAAUUUUAAUAUUUAUUUUUUAGUUUUCGGCAGACACAACAUCUUUGUUUGUAUGUAGUGCUGAGGAUCGAACCCGGGCCGCACGAUGCCAGGCGAGCGCGCUACAGCUUGAGCCACAUCCCAGCCCUGAUUUAACUUUCUCUUUCAUUAAAUAUUGAAGUUAUUUCAGAUUUUAGGCUUUAUUAAUAAGGUGAUGAUGAAUGUUUUUAUGAGUAACGUCUUUUUAUGAAUUAUUUCAUAGAAUUAUUUUUUAAGUUAUACCAGUUUAUAUCCUUACUAAUACUGUCAAUUUGUUUAAGGAAUGAGUCAUUUUAUCAGGGGCCUAUGUUCUGCUAGGCAUUUAACAGCUUUAUUUAUGUAAUCCCUAUAGACAUCUUUUGAGGUCCUUAUUGUCUCUAUUUAUAGGCAAAGGAGGUGAGGCUCAAAGAGUCUAAUGUAGCCAGGUCAUGGUGGCACAUAGCUGUAAUCCCAGCUGCUCAGGAGGCUGAGGCAGGAGGAUCACAAGUUCACAGCCAGCCUCAGCAAUUUAGUGAGGCCCUAGCCCUAACUUGGCAAGAUCCUGUUUCAAAAUAAAAAGGACUGGGGAUGUGGCUCAGUGCUUAAGCACCCCUGGAUUCAAUCCCCAGUACCAUAAAAAAAAAAAAAAGCUAAUGUAACUUACUUUAGGCUUAGGCUACACAGGUAAUGGAGGAGUUGAGAUGUAAAUCCAGAUCUUUAUGAUUCCACAGCCUCUAAAUCACUAUACAUGUUUGAAUUUUUAUUCAGAUUAUCACUAUACUAUACUUAGCUACUUUACUUUUAAUUUCUUUAGGCUGUUAGAAAAUAGGCAGGGGCAAAGAAGAGGGGUAAUUGGGAUAGUUUGGUAGAAAGUGCUCUUUACCAAAGGCACUCUAAAGAUAAUAUUAUUGAAAAUAAUAAUAUUCUAGACAUGUAUCAUUCCCCAUUUUUGUUGUCAAGAUAUCCCACAGAUUUUGAAAAUUAUUUGUAACAGUUCAUGCUUUUUUUUAGCUUUUUUUUUUUUUUUAAGAAAAUCGGAGAAGUUAGAAACCUCAAAAGUUCAUCUCCAUUGCCUUAUCCUCUGACAAUCAUUGCUAAUACUGUUGUUUUUAUCUCUUAAUUUCUCAAAUAUACUUUUCAUUCCUAUAGUUUUAUUUAGUCUCUUUCUUUCUUUCUUUGGUACCAGGGAUUGACUCAGGGACACUUAACAGCUGAGCCACAUCCCAGCCUUUUUUUUUUUUUUUGAGACAGGGUCUCUAUAAGCCUGCUAAAUUGCUGAGGCUGGCUUUAAACUUGAGAUCUCUUGCCUUAGCAUCUGAGCUGCUGUGAUUACAGGCCUGCAUCACCAUGCCUCACUAAUUUCAUCCUUUAAAAAAAAGUUAAUUGUAUAACUAAUAUAUAAUACACAGGUUAAAGAGGAAAAGAAAUAAGGCCUGAAAUACUGUUAACCAUCCCAUUCCAAUCCUCCUCUUCCCUAUAAUUUCCUCAACCCGGAUAGUCUGCAACUUGCUUUUUUCUCCAAGUAUCUUGAAAAUCUUUUUAUGUUAGUUUGUUAGACAAAUCAAUCAAUUGAUAUAUCUCUCCCUUUCCCUUCCCCCCCUUCCCUCCCCCGCCCCCCCCUCUUUUCAGCACUGGGGGUUGAACCCAGGGCCUCACACAUGUUAGGCAAGUGCUUUAUUACUCUGGCUCAAUAGAUGUAAUUUUUGAAAACUCUGUGUUAUUUAUUCCAUAGUAUUGGUUGUAUCUUUUUAUUCAUUCGUUUAAUUAUGAAUUGCUUUGUAAUUUCAUUUUGAUUUCCUAUUUAAACUGAGGGUUAAGAAGUUUAUUCCCCAGGUGGCAUUAUCUUCAUAAAAUAUUUUUUCCACAUAAUUUUAAAACCAUCAGUGAAACCAUCAGUGGCUCUUUCAAGCUCUAUAAUGGGCAUCAUAUACUCAGAGACAUCCAGUGACUUACAAAGAAUUGAGUGACAGACCAAAGGGUGUAGUGGGACUGACAGUUGGUAGAGAGUGUAGAAAUUGCCUAAAGAUGUUAAAAUGCACUUUAAAAACAAAACAGAAAAACACUGAUGACCAAAUAAGAAACUUUUACCAACAAGUUUCUCCUCCCCCGCCCCCCUUCCCCCCUUCCCCCACCAUACUGUGGAUUGAACCUGGGAUGAUCGACCACUGAGCUACAUCCCCAGCCCUUGUUAUUUUGUAUUUCAAGAUAGGGUCUUACUGAGUUGCCCAGACUGGCCUCGAAUUUGUGAUCCUCCUGCCUCAGCUUUCUGAGAGGGCCAACAAAUUUAAGUUUGUUAUCCAUUAAUGUACUACAGAGCCCUUUUACAGCUUACUUACUAGCCACCUUCCCUUUCUCCCAGAACACACUAUCUUUUAUGUUUCUCUGCCUUUGUCUGUGCUGGAAAAUUAUUCCCUCCUUCUCUGCUAGAAGAAUACAGCUUGUCCUUUAAGACUUGCUAUCAUACUCCUACAUCUUCUGUGAAACUGUUUGAGUUGCCCAAGACAGAUGUCAGUCUAGCCUAAUGGCAGUUUAGAUCUUUAUUACUGCUUUUUAUUACAUAGCUUUGUAAGAAUUUCUGUACCUCUCUUAACUCAUUUGGGGUGAGUCCUUCUUGGCAUAUGCUACCUUAUUUGCCUUGAUAUUCUUAGGCUUGGCAAGUGCACACAUGUAAGGGGCAUUCUGUUUUUAUUGAUUGAGUGAAUAAAUGAAUAAUCUUACUAACGGUAGUAAGAAUGACCUUGUGGAAAGCCAGAAUCCAAACUCAUGGCUACAUGACAAACAUGAAGUCCUAUAUUGCUCAGAUUACUAAUUCCAGAUUUUAUCAAAAAUAAAGGUAAUUUAUUUGAUUAAAAAAAAAAAAAAGGCUGGGAUGGGGCUCAGUUGUAGAGUACUUGCCUAGCAUGCUUGAGGCUUUGGGUUCCAUCCCAAGCAUAGGGGGAUAGGAGUAUAGGCACAGCUUUAUUUCAGUGUUGAUAAAAUUAAUAUAAAUCACAUACAGACCUUAAAGGGAAAUUUGAAAGCACGAGUUUUAAUACUAACUCACCUUAACUCAUGAAAUACUUCAUCUCUAAUCCUUGGGUUCUAUCGUAUGUAUAGUACUAUUUGCUACUUUUAUUCAGACUUGUAAAAAUCAUCUCAAACUGUGUUUGUCGUAUUGUAUUAUCCAUCUCCCUGGUCAUCUCUGGCUGAACAUUAUUUUAUAUCCUUUCUACUUGUCCCGUAUCCUAACCUUCUACCAUUUUGAGAGUCAAACUGUGUUCUAUUUGCUUUAAUUUAAAAUGUUUCUUUACCUUCUGUUUUCCAACUCCUUUUAUUUCUCUGAGAAGAAAAGUAUAAUACUAGAGAGCCAGAAAUCAGUCUUACUUACAUGUUUACAAGUAUCCAUGGUCCACAUUGUUCACAAAACAGAUUCUUAUCAUUAUCCUAGAGCAAUUGCUUGAUCCCAUAAUGUAUAGUACAUGGUUAUUGUCAGUUUUUAAUAAACCCUUAUUCCACAUCCUUUGUCCAGGCAGUUUGAGAUAAUUGCCUUCAAAUUAAGUGAAACAUUUCCUGAUGUUUUCAUCUGUCAUGAUAGAAUUCUGUGUUUAAGUUCUAUGUGGGUUUUUUUUGUUUGUUUGUUUGUUUUUGUUUUUGAGAAGGGUCUUGCUGAGUUGCUGAGGCUGACUUUGAACUUGCUAGCCUCCUACCUAAGCUGCCUGAGUUGCUGGCAUUAUAGAUGUGCACCACCAUACCUGGCUGGAAUUUUAUGACUCCUAUAUUGAUUUAAAAAAAAAAUGGUACUAGGAAUUGAACCCAGGAGUUCUUAACCACUGAGCCCUUGGAUUAUAGUUAUGUGCCGCUGUUCCCAGUUUAUUUUUUGAGACAGGGUGUCUCCAAGGUCCCAAGGCUGGACUUUUAUUUGCAUUCCUCCUGCCUCUUCCAUCUUCGGAGGGGCUGGGAUUAUAGGUACCUGCCACCUUACGUGGAUUCUAUGUUGAGUUUUAAAGUGGUUGAUAGAUUAGAACUCCAGAAUGACACCUACCUGUCAGUUACUAUAGAGCCUCAACCUCUGGUUUUCUGAGUGAUGCCUGAAAAAUAUCGUCCCUCAAGGUUAGAUCCAGCCUAGGCACUGAAUAGUCUAUGCUCCUUUGCGUGGCUUUUCAAGUUCUUUUCUUUUUAUGUUAGUUUGUUAGUUUGUUAGUUUCCAGCAGUUGCUACCUCCUGCCAUCAGUUUGUCUUCAUCUAGUCUCUGGUUCAAAAAUCCAAGUCAUUUUUAUUUUUUUUUAAUUUCAUUUAAUUUUAAAAUUAAUUAAUUAAUUAAUUUUUUGCACUGGGGGUUAAACCCAGGGGCACUUUACCACUAAUCUACAUCCUUAGACCUCUUAUUUUUUGAGACAGGGUCUCACUAAAUUGCUUAGGGCCUUGCUGAAUUUCUGAGGCUGGUCUAGAACUUCUGAUCCUCCUGUCUCAGCCUCCCCAGCCACUGGGAUUACAGGUGUGUGCCACCACGUCAUUUUUAAAUUCUCCCUUCUAUGUAGGCCAGCCACCAAGCUUUGUAAUAAGGCUCAUGGAUUCUUACAAACCUGAGUCACUUCCAUCUUUGUCUAUCCCCACUCUAGAUCACAUAAGAACACCUGCUCUGCCCUGCCCCACCCAGCCCACAAAUGCUUAACCUUUUAAUUGCAGUUGUGUUGGCUUCCACACUCACAAUUUUUUUAAAAAAAUAUUUUUUAUUUGUGCAUUAUAGUUAUAAAUAAUAUUGGGGUUUAUUUUGACAUGAUUAAUACAAGUAUGGAAUAUAAUUUGCUCCAUUCAGUCCCCAGUACCUCCUUUACUCUUCCUUCCUCACUCCCCUUGUUCCCUUUCCUCUAUACUACUUGUCUUUCUUCUAUUUAUUUAUAGUUUUUUUUAAUUAGUGCAUUAUAGAUAUAAAGCUGAAAUUUAUUGUGAUAUAUUCAUAUGUGUACAUAGCAUAGUUUUAUUACACUGAAUUGUUUUUGUUUUUAAAGAGAUGGGAUCUUGCUAUGUUGCCAAGCUCUUGGGCUCAAACAAUUUUUCUGCUUCAGACUCUUUCAUAUCUGGGGCCACAGGCUUGUGUCAUUGUAUCUAACUGUAGUCCCAGUUUUUAGUUUGUGUUGUUUGGUUUGUUUUGCAGUACUGGGGAUUGAGUCCGGGGGUGCUCUACCACAGAACUACAUCCCUUUUUUUUUUUUUUUUUUGGUACUGGGGAUUGUACCCAGGGGCGCGUAACUACGUAGCUGCAUUCCCAGCCCUUAUUUAUUUUUUUAUUUUUUAUUUUGACAAGAUCUAGCUAAAUUGCUGAGGCUGGCUUUAAACUUGUAAUCCUCCUUCCUCAGCCUCCUGAGCCCCUGAGAUUAUAGGCCUGUGUCACCAAGUCCAGCACCUUCCCUUUUUUGAGACAGUCUGGCUAAAUUUCCCAGGCUAACCUUGAAUUUGUGAUUCUCCUGCCUCCUGAGUAGCAGAGAUUACAGGCAUGUGUGAUUGUGCCCUAGCCCAUGGCCUCAGUUUUCAUCUCAGUAUUCAGGUAUUUUCCAUAUCAACUCCUAAUCUUUUAAAUUUUAUUUCCCCACCACAGUGCUAUGUAGUUCCUGGCUAUCCUAUAACUUUACCAAGGCUUUGGUUGGCCUCAGCCCCUUCCAGUCCCUCUGCAUACCUGAAAUGAUUUCUUUACCUCUGAAGCCCACCAUACUUUAUUUAUCUUAUGUCAUAUUAUUGCCCCCAAAGAGCUUUAUAGUUGACUAAAGUGCAUUUGAAUCUGUUUUAUUUAAUUUUCACAACAGUCUAUUAGGUAAGUAAGACAGUGUCUUAUCACAAGUGAGGAAAACUGAGCCAAGAUAUGAUGAGGGAAUAGUAAGUUGCCCAAGUUUUGCAGUUAGUAAAGCAUGGCACUAAGACUCAUCCAUGUCUCCUGUGCAUAAGCCCUAAGCUUUAUAUAAUAUACUUCUACUACCUUUCUGAGUGUCUGAAUCUGAAUGUGCACGUAAAUAUAAGUUUGAAUAUUUCUCUCUUUCCAAUUGACUGUUAGCUAUUUGAAGGUAGGUACUAUGCCUUAUUCCCCUAGAAUAUAUAUGUGUAUAUACGAGUGAGCAUGUUCAUGUCCAGUUCAAUGUUCUCUUUCUCUGUAAAAAUCAGCCUUCCCCUGAGUCGUGCUUCCCCAUUAUUUUUUUUUAAGUAGAUAGGAAACUUACUUUGCAUACAAUAAAUAAUAAAAUUACUAUUUUAUAUAAUGAAUUUAACUUUUGAUCUUUUCAUUAAUAUACUUCAAUUUACAAGGUAUCUGAAGAAAUUGAUUAAAAGCUAGGCUACUGAGCUAUCAUUCUACAUUUUCAAGUAUUAUAAAUAUCAUGAAUUUCUCAUAACUUUAUAAUUUUUAUGUUAGUUGCAUGAGAACAUACCACAAAAGCUAUUAUGAGGGCUGAAGAUACAGCUCAGUUGGUAGAGUGCUUGCCUCACAUGCACAAGGCCCUGGGUUCAAUCCCCAGCACCACAUACACACACAAAAAGCUAUUAUGAAUAGAGUAAAAUAAAUUCCAUUUUUUAUUAUGGGGAAGUACACAAUAUUUUCAUAACCAUUUUAAUGGAUUUAAAUUUUAUUAUAUCACAUUUAUUUAUUUAUUUAUUUAUUUUUGUGCUGGAAAUUGAACUCAGGGGCACUUGACCACUCAGCCACAUCCCCAGCCUAUUUUGUAUUUUAUUCUUUUAUUUAAAGACAGGGUCUCACUGAGCUGCUUAGCACCUCACUUUUGCUGAGGCUGGCUUUGAAAGCGGGAUCCUCCUGCGUCCACCUCCUGAGCCUCUGGGAUCACAGGCAUGCGCCACCACACCUGGCUGUCUACAUAUAUUUUAAAUGGAGGACUGAGGCUAUAUAGCUCAUUGGUGAGCACUUGCCUAUUAUGUGUGAGGCCCUGGGUUUGAUCCCCAGCAUUGAAAGCAAAAGAAAAAAAACGUUGGUUGAAUUUUUGCCCGCUGUGGUUGUAUAUUCCUUAGCCAGCCAGGAGAUUAGGGCAGGUGGAUCACGAGUUCCACUCUAGCCUGGGCAAUGAAUUUAGUUGCAAUGAAAAGGGGAGGAGGGUUGGGGAUGUAUCUCUGUGGUUGAGAGCCCCUGAGUUGAAUCUCCAUUGCUGUCCUUGUUUUUGUUUUUGUUUCCAGUACUGGGGAUUGAACCCAAGAGCACUUUAACAUCAAACUACAUACCCAGUCUGUUUUAUUUUUUAUUUUGAGAUACAAUCUCAAUAAGUUGCUGAGACUGGCCUGAAACUUGUGAUCUUUCAGCCUCAGAUUCCUGAAUUGCUGGGAUUGCAGAUGUGUUUGUGUAUACCACUGCUUCCACAACCAGCAAAAAAAAAAGGAAAGAAAAAGAGAAAAAUGAAAGCUGCUAAUACAUACACAUACAAGACCUCUAGUAUUCCAUCUACAGGAAAUGCUUGGUGCUCCUAAUACUUGCAGAUCCUCUUUGGUAACUCUAAGUUGCCAGUUGGGAUCCAUAUUUGCAGGGAUUCUGAUAUUAUUCUGAAUUACUCAGUGUUACCAUAGGAAAUUUCAUGUGAGAAAUUUCUUACAGAGCCAAGUAGUUGAAAUAGCUUUGCUCCCCUGAAUAAUUGCUUUUUGAAUGAUUUCUUUUUGAAUAACUUGGCUUGCAACUGAGCUUGUCUCCUUUUUCACAUUGGUAUUUGGGAAGUUCAGAACCAAAUAUGUCACUCAGUUGUAGCAAUUGUAUUGAUCUUUUCUGCAUGAUAAAGUUUUUCCACUUUGAUAGUGACUUUCCAUUGUCAUUUUCUUGGCUGUGAUUUUUAAAUUUAUCUUUCAUCAUUUUAGUGCAUGUAUUUCCCAAAAGCCAUCUAAAAUUCUUUAAAGGUGAAUCAGGAGAUAAAUAAAUCUCUAGCCCUUCAUUUGUGACCAUGUUUGGCACUGGACAUAUCUAUUUUAUAUAGUGAUGCCAACAUGUGUAUGUCUUGAUCUUCAUACUGUGUUUAAUUACAUUCAGAAGUGAUUAGAAAAAUGUAGUCUCAGGCUGGAGUUGUGGCUCAGAGGUAGAGCACUUGCCUAGCAUGCUUUUAAGGUACUGGGUUCGAUCCUCAGCACCACAUAAAAUAAAAUAAAGAUAUUGUGUCCACCUAUAACUAAAAAAUAAAUAUUAAAAAAAGAAAAAUGUACUUUCAUUUGCUACAAAUCACUUCCAAGAACUCUUCACAGUAUCAAUUAAACAUAUCUUGAGAAGUAGAGUAUACAUCUAUUUAGGAAGGAAGCAAAACAUUGUGACUACAGCACGCCUUGGCUAGCAUUUAGAGAUUAUUGCUGGCAGUAACAAUUAAUAAAUCCACAGGUGGGUGUGGGAAGACAACUUCUUUUUCUUUCAUUGCCUAUCCUUUUGAAAUUUGUACCAUAUACAUAUGUCACCUAUUCAAAAAACUAAUAAAAUAAUUUCUCAGUCAUCUUUAGUAGAAGUACUAAAAAGUUCUCUUUCUAUUAGACUAUGAGCACUUAAAAAUGGGAGUUCAUAACCCACUUGAAUCUAAUGUAUGAAAUAUGAUAUGUCAGGAGCUUUGUAAUGUUUUGAACAACCAAUAAAAUAUAUAUAAAUAAAUAAAUAAAUAAAUAAAAUAGACUAUGAGCACUUGGAGACUAGGAAGUGUAUGAGAUUCAUCUCAUCAUUCCUGAACCUAGCACAGUAGUUUACACAUAGUAAGCCCCCAGCUUAUGUGUGUAGAUAUGAAUUGGUAAAUGAAAAUUGCAAGUUUCAGUAGGGACAUGACCAGAAAUUACUAAAGAAUUGUGUGUAUAACUCAUGCCCCUUUUAACUCUGUACAUCUGUUUUAGAAUGAGGCUGAAACCAGCUUCCUGGCUUUGAAGUAACAUCUUUUUUUUUUUUUUUGGUGCUAUGGAUUGAACUCAGGAACACCUGACCACUGAGCAACAUCCCCAUCCCUUUUUGUAUUAUAUUUAGAGACAGGGUCUCACCAAGUUCCUUUUGCUAAGGCUGGCUUUGAACCUGCGAUUUUCCUGCUUCAGCCUCCCAAGCUGCUAGGAUUACAGGCGUGCACCACCACACCCUGCUGUAACAUAAUUUUUAUUGGUGCCCUUUAAAAUAACUUUAAAAAGUUAUUUUUCCCAGUCACUUGUUCAAAGUUGUUUUGUUUAUGUGUUACAGUAUGGGAUUUCAUCAAAUGUAUCUUCCAAGCUACUUUUUAUUUUUUCUUGCAGAUCUUUGUAGAAUUUGAUGGCUGUAACUGGAAGCAACACUCCUGGGUUAAAGUUCAUGCUGAAGAAGUUAUUGUGCUUUUGCUGGAAGGGUCACUUGUAUGGGCACCCCGGAAUGACCCAGUCCUUUUGCAGGGCACUCGAGUCUCAAUUGCACAGUGGCCAGCCCUGGUGAGUAGUUUUUAUUAUUUUUUUUUAUUUGGUCCUAGGGCUUAAUUCCAGAGUCUAACUCAUGCUAGCCAAGAUCUCUACUAAUGAGCCAUACCUGUAGCCCCCAAAUCCUGCCACCUACUACCUCAGGUCUGCCAGGGUACUUGUUAGGCAAGUGAUUUCACUGAGCUGUAUAUACCCUUGGUCCCUGAGUGGCCCCUAUUGGGUAGGAACAUAUUUGAGCUUUCCUAACAUAACUAUAGUGUUUGCCCAGUAGUGGAACUCUUUAGAAUUCACAAAACCCUACCUUAAAGUUAUGAAAGUAAAAAUUAAGAGAGAGCUUUUCUCUUCUGUGUUCUCCAAAACACUCUGAUAAUAUUUGAUACUGUUUAUCUCUAAAUAAUUUUUUCACUUUUAGUCUUUUCUCAUAGCAAGAUUUGAAAUAGUGUAAUCCUCAAAAGUGUUUUGUAAUUAAGUUUUGUUUUUUGAAAUGAAAUGAAAUAGUAUUAUAAAAUUCUGAGAGUAUCCAUUUGUUUUUAUCUAUCCUGUUAGAUAAAUGGCAAUUUUUAAAAAAUCCUAAUUCUCCUGUGGCUAAUCAAAUUAAAUAAAUAAUAUUCAAAGCAAAUAUUAUUUGACCUAUUGAUUAUACAUAUUAUUCCUUGCUAAAUUGUCUUUUUCUUUUGUAUGUGUCAGGGGGUGCUGGGUAUUAAACCCAGGGCCUAGCACAUGCUAGGCAAAUGUUGUACCACUGAACACAUCCCUAGCUUUUUCUUUUUUAUGUUUUUAUUAGUGCAUUAUAGUUAUACAUAAUAUUGGGAUUUAUUUUGACAUGAUCAUACAUACAUGGAAUAUAAUUAUCUUUAUUUCAGUCCUUGGUACUUCCCUUUUCCCUCUCUUCUCCUUCCCCUCAUUCCGCCUUCCUUUUUCUAUUGGUCUUCCUUCUAUUUACUUAUUGGUUUAUUUUGUUGGGUUUUUUUUUUUUGGUUUGUUUGUUUUUGUUUUAAUACUGGGGAUUGAACCCAGGGCACCUAACCACUAAGCUACAUCCCCAGCCCUUUUUAUUUUUUAUUUUGAGACAGGGUUUUGCUAAGUUGCUGAGGCUGGCCUGAAAUUUGUUAUCCUCCUGUCACUGGGAUUACAGACGUGUACCCUCAUACCUGUUUUUGUUUCUUUGGUACUGGGGAUUGAACCCAGAGGUACUUUAUCACUGAGUCACAUCCCCAGCCCUUUUUUAUAUUUUAUUUUUAGACAGGGUUUCACUAAGUUGCUUAGGGACUUGCUGAGUUGCUGAGUUUCAUUUUUUGCCACUUUGCCUGGAUUAUUGUGUUUUUAAAUUGGUGCUUAAUAGGUAUUCAUAAAGGGAGAAUUCACAUGGAGUAUUUAUAUAUGUACAUAGCAUAAUUUGGCCAAUUUCAUUCCUCAUUUCCUCCUUUUUCCUGUCCCUCUUCCUUUCCUCUCAACCUCCUUCUGUUCCAUUGAUCUUCCUUCUGUUUUCAUGGAGUUCCCCCCACCCUCCACCUUUUCUUCCCUUAUUUUGCCCUAGCAUUCUCAUAUGAGAGAAAAUAUUUUGACCCAUGGCUUUCUGAGUCUGGCUUAUUUCUUUAUGGCUGAGUAAAAUUCUAUUAUGUACAUAUACCACAUUUUCUUUAUCUAUUCAUCUGUUGGUGGACACCCAGCUGGUUCCAUAACUUGGCUAUUGUGAAUUGUGUUGAUAUAAACAUUAAUAUGCCUGUAUUGCUAUAGUAUGCUGAUUUUAGUUCUUUUGGAUAAAUACCAAGGAGUGGAAUAGAGUGGGUUAUAUGAUGGGUCCAUUCCUAGUCUUUUGAGGAGUCUCCAUACUGCUUUACAAAGUGGUUGUACUAGUUGGCAGUUUGCAGUCCCACUAAGAAUGUAUGCAUUUCCCCAUAUCCUUGCCAGCACUUUUUCAUUUGUUGUUAUUUUUGCAGUACUGCAGAUUGACUGUUUUGUUUUUGUUUUGCCGUGUUGGGGUUUGAACCCAGAGCUUCACACAUACUAGGCAAGCACUCUACUACUGAGCCAUGUCCCCAGCUCUUUUCAUUAUUUAUUUUUUGGUACCAGGGAUUGAACCCAGGAGCACUUAGCCACUGAGCUACAUCCCCAGGCCUUUUUUUUUUUUUUUAAUUUUGACACAGGGUCUCACUAAGUUGAGAGGCUACUCUUAAACUUGCAGCCUUCCUGCCUCAGCCUCCUAAAUCACUGGGAUUAUAGGCAUGUGCCACCAUACCCGGCCUUUUCAGGUAUGGUGAAAAUACCUGUUUUGUUUUUGUUUUUUGGUACUGGGGAUUGAACUAAGGGGCACUCAACCACUGAGCUACAUCCCCAGCACUAUUUUGUAUUUUAAUAUUUAUUUUUUAGUUGUAGUUGGACACAAUAUCUUUAUUUUAUUUAUUUUUAUGUGGUGCCGAGGAUUAAACCCAGUGCCUCAUGCAUGUAUGUAUGUGAGGCAAGUGCUCUACCACUGAGCUACAACCCCAGCCCUGGUAUUCUGGGCAUUUACUGAAAUUUAGUCCUCUUGAAGGCUGAUAAGAUUAGUCAGAUCCCUAAGGAAAAUGAGGAAUUUUUAAUCUCAAUUGUCCUUUUUAGCCAUAAAUAAAAGUAUUUUUUAAAUUUUUAUUUUUAUAUGGCAGUGGAAUGCAUUACAAUUCUUAUUACACAUAUAGAGCGCAAUUUUUCAUAUCUCUGGUUGUACACAAAGUAUAUCCACACCAAUUUGUGUCUUCAUACAUGUACUUUGGAUAAUAAUGAUCAUAAUAGAAGAGUAUUGAGCAAAGUUUUCUACGUUAGUUUGCUUCCUAGGGACAGAUGCUAGGCUAGAAAUGUUUCCAAGGACUUAAACUUUAGUUUAUCUGUAUUUACUAGUGUGAAAAUAUAAAAAUAAUAUAAUAAUGAAUACUUUUUCUGAAGUAGGGAUUUAUUGAAUUGUUAUUGGUUUUCAUUUCCAAGUUCUAAUCAGUUUCUUGUCAUUAUGCUUCACAGACUUUCACUCCCCUAGUAGAUAAACUGGGUUUGGGUUCUGUGGUGCCAGUUGAAUACCUUCUGGAUCGAGAACUUCGUUUCCUGUCAGAUGCUAAUGGGUUGCAUCUGUUCCAGGUACUUUACACUUAACUCUGGUCUUGAGCCUAUUAUUUUUCUCCUUGCUAAUUUCUUUGUUGAUACAAAUACUGGUGUUUCCCUUUUUCUUAGUGUUUCUUUGAUUUCCUUCAAUAAAUUCCCCUGUGCCUUUUAAAGUUUCUCUGCUUCCUUGCAAAGUACUGAGGCUUCUUUCCUUUUCUGUAUAACCCUGCUCCACACUAAAGCCAUUGAAGACUUAAGACCACAAUUCUGAGGGUCCCUUCAGAAGAGGUGGCUUCAUUGAGUUGGUUGCUUCUGUAGUAUGAGUCCUAGGGGCCCUAUGCAUACCUUAGUGGCAUGGAAGUGGGGAGGAAUGUGGAGUGGUUCCAUGCAGUGUGAAGUUUUGAAGAGCUUUUGGUAUAUCUUUAGUUUAAAAAAAAAAUGGGAUAAGUUAAAUAGUUGAAACAAACUAGCUUCUGAGUUUGGGUUUCAGAAUUUAACAAAGUACUGUUUAAUUCUCACUUGUAAGGGUUACUAUCUGAAGGUUAAAAUCUGAGAGACUUCUAAGAGUUUUAUUCUUAUCAAGAAAGCCAAGAACAGUGUUUCCUAAACUGUUUUAUGUAUAUUAAUGUAUAUUUCUUUUUGUUAUAUAGUCCUCAUGAGACCUCACUCUCAACAGUCUUGCUUUAUUCAUCUUUAUAAUCCCAGAGUUUAUAUGAGAAUGGCAUUCAGGAAAUGUUGGAUAAACACCAAAAUAAGCAAAAAGGUUUAUAUGGAGUAAAAUGUUUUGUGGUCAAAUAAGUAUGUGAAACCCUGACUUAAAUAUAUUUCUUUUCUCUAUGAUUUCUCUGAACCUUGAGUAUGAUGUCGUAUACAGAAACAUAUAUAAAUUUAGGCUUAGGAAAUAUCAUGUUCUGCAUGUAGAAAGAUAUAAUAUGUAAUAUUUUCUAAGCCUCAUUUAUACUAGCAUUUUUAAUUCUUGCAGAGAUUCUCAUGAGACUAGAAUUCUUAAGGCAUUUUUAGCAAGUGUUGAUAUAGAACUCCUUGGUAUGUGAUUUUUCUCAUUUAAUUAGAUGUUAUUGCUAUUUAUUUUAACAUUCAGUUGUUUUAUCUUUACCAGAUGGGAACCGAUAGCCAAAACCAGAUUCUUUUAGAACAUACUGCUCUGAGAGAAACAGUUAAUGCUUUGAUCAGUGACCAAAAGCUACAAGAGAUAUUCAGCCGAGGUAAGAACAGGUAGUCUUCUGUCCCUGAACUCUGAAUCAGGUGAAUUGUCAGUUUUGAAUGAUAUAAUGGGACAUCAUGUAGCUUUAAACAUUUGUCCUCAUCCUCUUUUUGUGAGUAGAGACGAAAGUAUCUCCGAUUAGCUAAAUCUCCAAAUAAACUAGAAAAAUAGGAUCUCUCCAAGACCAUUGUUUUCUCUCUCUCUCUUUUUUUUUUUUUUUAAUAUUUUUUUUAUUUGUUGAUGGACCUUUAUUUUAUUUUAUUUUUUGUGGUGCUGGAAAUCAAACCCAGUGCCCUGCAUGUACGAGGCAAGCGCUCCACUGCUAAUCUACAACUCCAGCCCCCCAUUGUUUUCUCUUCAUUGUACUUUUCAUAAACCAUAGUUUUGUUGUAAGCUUAGUUUUUUUUCCCCAUUUUUAAAAUAUUUAUUAAGGACACUAGAAAUAUUUAUUUAAAAACAUGCACUAGAAACAAUGUUAAGGCACUAAUGAUCUAGCCAGUAGCUAGAAAAUCUUUACCUAUUUUUUUUUUUUUUUAAUACACCCAAGGGCGCUUAACCACUGAGCCACAUCCCUAGCCCUUUUUUUUAAUUAUUUUUUAUUUUGAGACAGACUCACUAAGUUGUUUAGGGCCUUGCAAUCCUCCUGACUCAGCCUCCUGAGUUGCUGAAAUUACACACAUGUGCCAUUGUGCCUAGAGCUGACUCUGCUUUUUUUGAAUUUACUAUCUGCAGGUUUCUAAAAAAUCUAGGACUAGCUGGGUGUAGUGGCUUACACCACUAAUUUGGGCAACUUGGACAGCUGAGGCAGGAUUGCAAGUUCCAGGCCUAUCUCAGCAAUUUAGUGAAACCCUCAGUAACCUAGUGAGAUUCUGUCGCAAAAUAAAAAAUAGAAAGGUCUGGGGAUGUAGCUCAGAAAUGAAGCACUCCUGCGUUCAAUCCUCAUUACCAAAAAGAAAAAGCUAAAGACUCUUAACACCAACAUAUAACUUAGAGUGCAAAGUAUGUUCAUAAAACAAUGCAUCCACAGACUUAUUCACAUGAAUAGUAUGCUUUAAGUAUAAAUAAAUGAACAUAGGGUGUAGCUCAGUGGUAGAGUGCUUUUGCCCAACAUGCCAUAGCCCCUGGGUUUGAUCCUUAGUAACAAACAAACAAACAAAAACAGAAAGAAGAAUUAUUAGUUUUCAAGUUCAGAUACCGGUUUUGCCUCAAGAGUCUAUACGAAGAGUAAACUACUUCAUUUAUCCUUCCUUUCAUGUCAUGCAUUCACUCACCUUCAUUUCUGGGCCUUAUGAUAAUCAUUAUUUUUAGUGAAGUAGUGUCCUUGGUUCUAUUUUUGUCAAAUAAAUCUAAACAGGUGAAGUUAAGAAUACUGACCUAAUGGAGAAAAAAAGAUAUCAGGAUAAAAUGAUGUUUAAUAAACAAGGAAUGAUAUAGAGGAAGAAAGAAUGUGAGGAAAAAUUAGUAACAGAAGAAAAUUGAGUGGACAAAAUGAGAGGUGGUGAUAUGUGAGUAUAUACAGAGAAAUUAAGGAAACUUAAUUAUAGCUCUAAGAAAAUAAUCUAAAAUUAGUAAUGCUUUAGCUAUAUAGUCUCAAAUGUACAAUGAUAUGUGGGAGAGAGAAACUGUCCUUGGAAAGACCAGCUGAAAUUGCAGGGUAACAUUACCUGCUGAUAAAGUAAUAUUUUUGAAACUCUGUGUUCCUAGGAAGACAGGUGCUAUAUUUGUUCAGACUAUUAUUAGUGCAGAGGCUAGAAACCUCAUAAAUUGAACUCUCAGCUGUUAUUGAAAGUCAGAUAGCAGAAUGUUAAUGAUUAUGUAUCAUUCCUGUGGUGGUUUAUCCUAAUAGCACAUCCAAUGGGACUGGGGGUUUAGCUUAGUGGCAGACAUGUACAAGGCUCUGGGUUUGAUCCUCUGCAGCACAAAUAAAAAAGAAAAAGAGUACAUUCAACUUAGUGGUCUCCUACUUUUUUCAUACACAUGUCAGGUAUAUGAGUAAAUUUCCAUAUUACUUGUUGUUGUUGUUGUUGUUUUAAUUUGUAAGUUUCUUUCCCUUUGAAUAUUACAAUUAUUAAAUUGUUGAAUAUAGGGGCUAGGGAUGUUGCUCAAUAUCAGAGUGCUUCCCUGGGAUGUAUGAGGACAAGGGUUCUAUCCCAACAUCUCAAAAAGACUCAAUGCUGAGUGUGGUAAAUCUAGAAUUGCUACUUUGUUAGCUCUGUCAAGGGGCAGAUAUUUGAAAGUGCCAAGUAUUUCCAUCAUGUAGUUUUCCUUUUGCUUUCAGAAACAGUUAUGAAACAUAACUUAGCCAAAAAUACAGUUUUGACUGAUCUCUUUUUUAGGUCCCUACAGUGUUCAAGGUCACAGGGUCAAAGUGUACCAGCCAGAGGGGGAAGAAGGGUGGAUCUAUGGUGUCGUAAGUCAUCAGGACUCCAUCACCCGUCUUAUGGAUGUGUCUAUAACUGAGGUGAGGCUGUGUUAAUUCCAUCUAAAUUCUAUCAGUCCCCUUACAGAGCAUGGUGUAAAGAAUGUGAAUACUUUAUCCCUGGCUCUUAUCAUUUAAUGAUUGUAUAACCCUUAGAAGGGGUGUGCAACUUUAUCAUCCCACUGUUCUCAUCUUUAAGUUAGAAGUAAUUGUGUAAAACCCCACUUACCUCACAAUACUGUUUUGAAGACUGAAAUAAUAUAUUUAAAAGUGCUUUGAAAUCUGUAAAACAAUAUGCAGUUGUAAGGUGGUAAUAUUUAUCAUAUUCAUAACAGUUUGUAUUAAAGACCAAUUAGUUAGCAUUGGCUUCUGUAUUACUUUUGCCACUAUAUCCUAGAUGCUGAAAAAAAUUGCUUUUAAUGAACAGAAAAGAACCUAACACCUAAGAGAUACCUGGAGAAUUAUUUAGGAGAAACAGUAGAUGAGUGUUUCUUUUUUUUUUAAUUUAUUUUUUUGGUUGUAGUUGUUAUUUAUUUCUUUCUUUAAUUUUUUUAAAAGUUAAAUAAAUCUUCAUUUAAAAAUUUCAAAAAACAUACAUACAUAAACUAGAUAAUGAAAGCCAACCUUUCCCCUAUGUAAAUGUCACUCAGUGGCAACCACCAUUAACAGUUUGGUAUAUAUUCCAUAUUCUUUUUAUUUUUUGUUUAUUUAUUUUUAGUAUUUAUUUUUAUGUGGUGCUGAGGAUGGUACCCAGUGCCUCACACAUGCUAGACAAGUGCUCUCCCAUUAAGCUAUAUUCCAUAUUCUUCCAAAUAUUUUCUAUAUAUGUAUUUCUGUAGGUUAUAUAGUGUAUCUUAUUUACUUAAUUGUAUAUAACCUCCAUUUUUUUUUUCUUUUUUUUUUUUUUCCUGAUACUGGGGACUGAACCCAGGGGCACUUUACCGCUGAGCUACAUCUCCAGCGUUUUUCUUUUUUGUUGUUGUUGUUUUUUUUUUGUUACUUUGAGAUAGUGUCUUGCUAAAUUGCCAAGGUUGGCCUCAAACUUGCAAUCCUCCUGCCUCAGUCUCCUAAGUUGUUUGGAUUACAAAUAUGUGCCACUAUACUUGGUUUAUAACAAGCAUUUUUAAUCUUUAUUUGUGAAUAUAGAGAUGUGAAUUUUUUUUUUUUUUUUUUUUUUUCUCCUUUAUGGUACUGGGGAUUGACAAUACCCCAGCAGUUCUUUUCACUGAGCUACAUUCUGGGCCUUUUUAAAUUUUUAUCUUGAGACAUGAUCUCGCUAAGUUGCUGAGGCUGGCCUUGAACUUGGAAUUCUUCUGCCUUAGUCUCUCAAUUUGCUGGAAUUAGAGACAUGUGCCACUGUGCCCAGCUGACUUAUUCCUUUAAAAUAGAUGUGUGCUAUUCCAAAAAAUGAAUAUAUCAUAGCUAGUUUAAUCUAAAAUUGAAGGACAUUUAAAUCUUUGCCAGUAUUUUCACUAAUACAGAUGAUGACACAGUGAACAUACUUGAACAUCCUUUCACAUUUAUGAUUUAUUGGAAUAAAUUCCUUGGUUUGUAAUUGCUAAGUUAAAAGAUAUACAUAGUAAAAAAAAAUUUUGUGUGUGUGUUGUUGUACUGGGAAUUGAACUCAGGACCUCAUACAUGCUAGGCAAGUGCUCUACAACUGAGCUAUAUCCCCAGCCCUACACAGUAAAUUUGAUGUUUUAUGUCAAAGUACUCCCUCUCCUAAAGUUUGUAUUCUUUAGUAGUAAAGUAGGUUUGUUUGUUUUGGGUGUUUUUUAUUGUUUUGGUUUUUGUGGGUUUGGGGUUUUUUGUUUUGUUUUGUUUUGUUGGUGGUACUGGGAAUUAAUCCCAGGGUCUCAAAUAUGCUCUAUCACUGAGCUACAUCCCCAGCCCUAUAUAAUGAUUUUUGUAAUGAUUGUUGUUGGUUCUGAAGAUUUUUGAUUUCAUAAUAUACUGAAUAGGAAUGUUUUUGAUAUGGAAUAUUUCAAAUUAAAAUCCCUAAAAGACAUACUUGAGCAUUAAACUCAAUUGUUCCUUUUAUUCAUGAACUUAACAAAUAUAUUAAUGCUCACCAUAUUCCACACCGUGUUUCAGAUAUCCUUACUAUAGCAGUGAUUGAGACAGUAAAUAUCCCUUCUCUCAUGGAGCUUUCUUCUAAUAAGGGAAUAGAAGCAAUAAAGAGAUACUUACAUAGAUUAGGAAAAUGUUAAGUCUUGGUGAAUAAAGCAUUAAAUAAUCUCUCUCCCCCACCCUUUUCCCAUAUGUUCUGCUAUCCUGCUGCUACCAUAGAGUGGUGAGAUCAAGUCAGUAGAUCCCAGACUCAUCCAUGUGAUGCUGAUGGAUAACACAACGCCUCAAAAUGAGGUACAGUAAACAACUGAGUCUCUGAGAAGACUCAUGAGCUUGCAUUUUCUUGUUAUGUGGUUUCCUUUUACAUGGGUGCUGCUUGGGUUGUUCAGAUGGACUGUCUUGGUAAGGGUGGAUGGUGUCAAGAAAGAGACCUAGUUUGAGUAAACCCUUUCAAUUUGACUUGUUCUAUAGUUGUUAUAAAGUCUUAAGUCCUAACUUUCUUUUAUAUUUUCUUAAGUAUAUUUGAAAGAGGUAGUAGUUAAAACUGCAAUAAAUGGUAGUAAUAAUCAUGACCUUACCAGUAACUAGAUAUGGAAGAAAAGCUACAUCCUCUUUUUUCCUAUUAGGUGGCACUGAGCUCCAACAGAGUCUUUUUUACUUUUUAUCUUGAGACAGGAUCUCGCUAAGUUGCUGAGGCUGGCCUUGAACUUAGCAUUCUUCUGCCUUAGUCUCUCAACUUGCUGGAAUUAGAGGCAUGUGCCACAAUAGAUGUAUGCUAUUCCAAAAGAUGAAUAUAUCAUAACUAAUUUAAUCUAAAAUUGGAGGACAUUUAAAUCAUUGCCAGUAUUUUCACUAAUACAAAUGACAACACAAUGAACAUACUUGAACAUCCUUUCACAUUUAUUGUUUAUUGGAAUUAAUUCCUUGGUUUGCAAUUGCUAAGUUAAUAGAUAUACAUAGUAAAAAAAAAUUUUUUGUGUGAGUUAUUGUACUGGAGAUUGAACUCAGGACCUCAUACAUGCUCAUAUAUUCCCAAGUAGAAUCAAAUGAACAGGUGCCUAGUUCAGUGCUUAGCACACAGUGGAUUAUUCUAUAAUUAUAGACUAAGCCAACACUUGGUUCAUUUAGAAUUAUUAUAGCCAAAAAUAAAUAAAUAAGCGCAUUAUAAAUCUUUACCUGAACCAAUAAGGAAUCCUGUGUGAGUAUCCUUCAGUAAAUCAACUGUCCACACAUGCCUCAUAGUAUCUUAUCACCUCUAUAAAUAUUGCUUUCUUGCUGAGUAUAUAGUCCUUCAUCAUCUUUUUUAUUAGUUAUUCUUGAUUUAAAAAAAAAAAAGAUCAGACUAAGAAAGGAAGAAUCAGUAUUAAAUUUAAUAGCUUUUUAUUUAUGUAUUAUAUUAAUCAGGAAUAGGUUAAGUCCCUUGACUAUGUUUACAUGGCUGAAAAACCUGUUACUUUGAUGUUGCAUUGGGCUCUAUUUUUAGUCCAUUAUUUCACUCAUUCAUUAAGCACCUAUUGUAUGCCAAAUAGUAUACAGCUAGCCCAGUAUAACUGAAAAGUACUAUACUCAGUGUCCUAGGUUACUUUCUUGCAUGUGAGUAGUUCAUUAUAAGUUAUUUUGGGAAUGGUUGCUGUGAGCCAGGUUCUUCAAGUUGACUGCAUGAGUUAGAAGUGGAAGUGUGGUUGUUAGCAGUAAAUUUUGAUUUUUCCUUUUUGGCUUUGCCAUGAUGUGACAUCUUCUUUUGUUUGUUUUUUCCCCAGUAUCAGGGAUUGAACCCAGGGGCACUUAACCACUGAGCCACAUCCGCAGUCCUUUUUCGUGUUUUAUUUAGAGACAGGGUCUCACUGAGUUGCUUAGGGCCUAACUAAGUUACUUAGGCUGGCUUUGAACUUGGAAUCCUUCUGCCUCAGCCUCCUGAGCUGCAUGCUCAGGUAUGCGCCACUGUGCCCAACUUGACUUUUAUUCUUGGCUAGCCAAAUUCAAUUACAGUUUGCCAGGUUUUCCAGUAACCCUUCUUAGAGAUCUGUGAUUGCCUCAUCUCCUUUAACAGUGAGUAUAAGAGAAUAAGCAAGAAAGAAAAGAAAGAUUUCAGCUAAGCUCAGUGGCACAUGCCUAUAAUCUCAGAUUUGAGAGGCUGAGGCAAGAGAAUCACAGGUUUGAGACCAGCUUCAGGAUUUUAGUGAAACUCUUAUCAAAACAUAAGUAGGGCUAGGGAUGUAACUCAGAGGUAAAGUGUCCUGGGUUCAAGUCCCAUUACCAGAAAUAAAAUAAAGGACAAAAAAUGCCCAUCCUCAAGUUUACCCUUUUUAUUUAUUUAUUUGGUACCAGGGAUUGAGCCCAGAGGCAUUUAACUAUUGAGUCACAUCCCCAGCUCUUUUUUAUAUUUUAUUUAGAGACAGGGUCUUACUGAGUUGCUUAGGGCCUUGCUAAAAUCGCUGAGGCUGGCUUGAAAUAACAAUUCUCUGCCUCAGCCACCUGUACUUUACCCUGUAAUUUAAGAAGAAAGUAAAAAUAAAAAACUGAUGGUAAUCCAGGUUGAAGAAAAGAUAAAGUUUUAAAAGAGAAUGGAUGAAUUUAAGCUGGGCAUGGUAGUGCAUGCCUGUAAUCUCAGCUACUUGGGAGGAUGAGGCAGGAGGAUUAAGAGUUCUAGCCCAAUUUGGGCAACAUAGCAAGAGCCUGUCUCAAAGAGGAUGAAAUGAAAACAACGUUUAGCAAACAGUUUUUGAAUGAUUUGAAAAACUUGGGUAAUAUUGCCAGAAGUAUGUUACUUAUUAUUAUAUUACUUAAUACUAUAUAUUUAGAAAUACAGAUAAUAUUCAGAAGUAGGGUGGAAAUGGAAGUAAAUCUUGAGCCUUAAGACUUGGGCGGGGGCUGGGAUUGUAGUUUGGUAGUAGAGCGCUUGUCUAGCAUGUGUGAGGCACUUGGGUUGGAUACUUGGCACCACAUAAAAAUAAGUAAAUAAAAUAAAGACUUGUAGGGGAAGCUAGGUACAGUGGUACAAGCUUGUAAUCCCAGGGGCUUAGGAGGCUGAAGCAGGAGGAUCACAAAUUCAAAGCCAGUAUUGGCAACUUAGCGAAACCCUGUGUCAAAAUAAAAAAUAUAAAGGGAUGAGGAUGUAGCUUAGUGGUUCAAUACCCAGUACCCCCCAAUAUAUGGGGGGCUGUUUUAUAUAUAUGAAUGACUUGUAGGGGAAAUUAAAGGAGAAACACUAGAUAGGAAGACAGCAAAAAGGAAAAGUACUGAAACUAUUACUAAGAAGAUAAGAAAUUUAAAAUUCAUAAAACAUUUCCAUUGAAAAGCUAUAGUAAUGAUUACAAGAAAGAAAAUAGAUCUAUAAAUAAUACUGCCCAAAGUAUUAAAGGACAGUAAGAAUAAAUUAAUGAAGUUUAUAAAUAUUAAUACCUAGAUAACAAUGUUUCACUAGCUUAUUAACCAUCUUAGCACAUGUUUUUGAAAUACCUUCUUCAUAUAAGUCCUUGAUGCACAAAAAAGAUUGCUGUAGAGAAUGUUAGCUGCACCUCAUGCCCCAUUCUCCUUAUCCUUCUCAGGGAAGGAGUUUACUCAGAAUGGGUAUUUUCUCUUUUAAUCCAUAUCUUGUCUGGCCUUUCAAAUAAGGUGCAAGUAAAAUUUUCUGAGAUAGAUAGUCUGACAUUACCAGAAGAUAGAAGAGAUUUGGCUUUUGGCCUGUGGUAGCCUGCUUUUUUCCCCCUUUCCUCUGUUUAAUGCUUUGAAAUAAGGUCUGGAGAUCAAUUGAAUCUUUGUAGUGUCUGUGAGCUAUCAGCUUCACUUUUCCUUUGCUCAUAGAUUUACAAAUACUGGUAAUCAAAUACUGGUUUUAGUGACUUUUGGUUAAAAGGAAUUUUGUAUGUUAAUACUUGAAGUACAAGUUUCUGUCAAAACCAAGAGAUAAAGCAAGUUAUUUCCUCAGUGUACAAAUAAGCUUCUAGCCUAGCCUGGCAUUUUAUUUUGUAAAAAUAAGUUCCACAAAUUAUAAAACCCAUCAAAAAAUAAAAUACCAUUUGAAGUAGUUUAUUUAUUGUAAGAGAAGAUUUGCCAAGAGAGUUAACCUCUGGUAACUGUUAUCUUGAAUGUGUGUAUAAAUGGGAUUACAGGGAGAUUGGAGCUUUUUGACAAAGGGUCUUAGAGCUGGCAUCAGAAUUUGGCAAUCUUUGCCUGCUUUUUCUGUUUCUAGAGAUGGGAAAGAGCUAAUGGAUUAUGGUUUUCACAGGAUGAAAGGUCCUUUAUAAUAAAUCUUUUUUGAAUUUUGUUUUGUAGGGGGGUACGUUAAAAGCAGUAAAAUCUUCCAAAGGAAAGAAGAAGAGAGAGAGCAUAGAGGGGAAAGAUGGCCGGAGGAGGAAAAAUGCUUCGGACUCUGGGUGUGACUCUGCAUCAAAGAAAUUAAAAGGAGACAGGGGUGAAGUAGACAGUAAUGGGAGCGAUGGAGGUGAGGCAAGCCGAGGGCCCUGGAAAGGAGGUAAUGCCAGUGGAGAGCCAGGGCUGGAUCAGAGAGCCAAGCAGCCACCAUCUACAUUUGUUCCCCAAAUUAACCGCAACAUUCGCUUUGCCACUUACACCAAAGAAAACGGCAGGACUCUGGUGGUACAGGAUGAGCCCGUAGGUGGGGACACACCUGUACCUUUCACUCCAUAUUCUACAGCCACAGGUCAGACACCUUUGGCCUCAGAGGUGGGUGGAGCCGAAAACAAAGAGUCAGGAAAAACACUGGAACAAGUUGGCCAGGGCAUGGUGGCUUCAGCAGUUGUGGUCACUUCCGCCAGCUCCACCCCAACCACGGUGAGGAUCUCAGACACUGGCCUUGCAGCAGGGACUGGGCCGGAAAAACAGAAAGGCAGCCGGUCACAGGCCUCAGGAGAGGUGAGUUGCUCUAGGGGCAGAUUUGCUAGAUUUGUGUUUACUCUCUCACCCUUCCUUAUUGUUAACACCUUCACAGACAUCUCAAAUGCCCUAAGGAAGGAAUAUUUCUGAGAUAUGCUUAAAUUAUAUUCUGUGGCUAGGCCUUUACUGCUCUCCUUGAGCAAAUGUGUACAUUUUAAUAACUUUAUCAGUUUUUAAAAGCCACUUGAACAUCUGGACUCAGCUGCGCAUACCUGUAAUCCCAUCAAUUUAGGAAUCAGAGGCAGGAGGAUUACAAGUUUAAAGCCAGCCUCAACAACUUAGUGAGGUCUUCUCUCAAAAUAAAAAUUGACUGGGAAUGUGGCUCAGUGGUUAAGUGCCCCUGGGUUCAAUCCCCAGUACAAAAAAAAAAAGUCACCUGAACAAUUGGGCUAAUCAAAAACUGGUUAUACAACCCAAUUUAAUGAGAUUUAAAAUAGAUCUGAUGGGGAAUCUUUUUAAUUCAAUUAUCUAUUUAGUUCACCAAGUAGUUGAACCUCCACCAAAUCUGAGAGGCAAGAUUAAUGAAUUAUAGUGUUGGUAAUAGUGAACACUAUAAUUAAGGCUGUGAGUCCAAGCUACCAUUACCCUAUUUUCAGUUCAUCAUUUUCUGUGAUAUUUUCCCUUGAGUCUAGGUUACUUUCCAUCGUUUAGUAUGGCCAUAAAAGUUUUUCCCUCACUAAUUUCAUUCUUUUAAUAAGCCUUACUUGAUGGAUUUAAUCAUAACAGUUAUUGCUUUGGUCUUUAUCUGAUAGGAUUUUUUUUUUUUUUUUUUUGCUAAAAUGGAACUUUUGUUAAAUGUAAGUUAAUGUCAAGUUGACACUGCAAUCCAAAUUUAAGACAGUAUCAAAAUCUAUUCUUUUGGUACUAGGGGCUGUGGCUCAAUGGUAGAGCGCUUGCCUGGUACGUGUGAGGCACUGGGUUUGAUCCUCAGCACCUCAUAAAAAUAAAAACUAAAAGCCAGGCAUGGUGUUGCAUGCCUGUAAUCCCAGCGGUUUGGGAGGCGGAGGCAGGAGAAUCACAAGUUCAUAGCCAGCCUCAGCAAUUCAGCAGGGCACUAAGCAACUCAAUGAGACCCCAUCUCUAAUAAAAAACAAAAUAGGGCUGGGGAUUUGGCUCAGUGGUCUAGUGCCCCUGAGUUCAAUCCCUGAUACCAUAAAUAAAUAAAUAAAUAUGGGGGGGGUUUUUGUCCGUCUACAACUAAAAAAAUAUAUAUUUAAAAAUUGAAUUUCUUACUGAUUUUGGUCACCAAACUGAUUCACAUAGGCCAACUCAAGCUAGAGUAUGAAGUGAAAAGAUGAAAUGCAUAAUGAUUUUUUUAAAGUACAUAAGCCAGCCAUGGAGGCACGUGCAUAUAGGCCCAGCUACUCAUGAGGCUGAGGCAGGAGGAUCAUUUUAGCCGAGGAAUUUGAGGCCAGCCUGGACAACAAUGAGACCCCAUCCAAAAAAAAAAAGCAAAAUAAUAUAUAGGAAACUACUGUGUGCUAAGUACUGUGCAUUAUAAAUAUUUUAAAUCACUACUUAAAGGAACCCACACACCAAAAUAGGAUAAUUUCAGGUAUAACAACACAGAUAAAGCAUGACAUAGGACUGGGUGAUAUGGUUUAAUAGAAAAAAAUCUUGCCUAGCAUGCAUGAGGCCUUGUGUUUGAUCACCAGCCCCACAAAGAACAAAACAAAGCAAACAAAAAACCCAUGGUAUAUAAAUUUCAUCUGACUAAUUCCUAAUUCUAGCAAAUACAAUGUGUUAACCCCUAAUAUAUAGGAAUAGAGAGCGAGAUGAAAUGCCUAGGUAAAAGAGGACUGUAAAUGCAAAUUUCACACUGUUUAUGAUUUUUUCCUCAGUUAGUUGACCUAUAGUCCCAAAAGAACCAGGUGAGGAUCAUAGAUGAGUUUCCAAUGUGUAAAAAAAAAAAAAAAAAAAUCUUCAUAAUUUCUGCACCAUUUAAAAUCAACUCUGUGUUAAGGCAGUAUGAAUGUAAAUGAGAAUUACAAAGUAAACCAAAUUUGUGACCUACAAGAAAAGAUCCAGUGAAUGUCACUGUUCUUGGAGUAGCAAAGCUGAUAGAUGAAAUGUGGAGUCAAUAUUUUUUUCAAAUAGGUUGUAGAAACUUCUGUGAAUAUCAUUUUGCUCAUGUUUUAGCCUCUUUCUGCAGUAUGAUUUAAAAUUACAGACAUGAAUGUUUCUGUUACAAUUCUUAAUCUGAAAUAGAGAAAUAGUUACCAGGACUUUCUUGCCCUAAAAGCUGGAGUUGAAAUCAGUUUGUCAUCGCUUUCUUAUAAGGAAAGGAUUUGGAAUUUGAUCAUUUAAAAGAAAAUGAAAGACCAUCCAAAUUAUUUUUCAUUCAUGUGUGUAUUUAUUUUUAAAGGAUAAUGUUAGUAGUAAAACAUGAGCUACUCGUGCAGGUUUCUUGCAGUCAUACAGAUGUCCAGGCUCUGAGCCAAUCCUGCUAGUGAAACAACAGCAAAAUCUCAGGGCUGUGUCAGUCUUAUUUUGGGUGGUGGGGGCAGGGGGGCAUCUUAAAUCAAUGCUUUUGUAGUUAGUAAGAAAAAAAAAUGAACUUUAAUUUUUUAACUCUAAAAUCUGUCAACAGAUGUCAACUGCAAGCAAGCCAUAGGAAGUGUCCCUGGUUCUUCUCCUUCUAUGUCACCUUUAAGGAUAUUUAGCAUUGUAUCAUUUUAAAAUGUAUGAUUCUUUGGCAUGUAGUACAUUCACCAUGUUAUAAAACCACUACCACUAUGAGAUCCAGAAAUUUUUCUCCUUUAAAAUAAAACCCCAUAUUCAUUCAGCAGUGAUGGAAUAAUUUUUUAUUUCCAAUGUUUACAAAUGAAUGUUUAGGUAUCAUUCUCUACUACUUGAAAGUUGGUUGGUGUUUUUGUUUUGUUUUGUUUUAGUUAAUCUACAUUUCAAGUCAAGUGCUAGGAUCUGAGUUUUAUUAAAUUAACGAGUACUACAUAAGGGCUCAUAGCUACCUAAGAGUGUCUCUGUGUGUGCAUAUGGGUACAUAAUGUAUAUGAAAGUGCCCCUACCCUUAUUUAUACAUAUAUUCAUUCACAUGCAGAAGUUAACAUGGGAAGCAUUAUAUAACAUUUUAUUUUCCAAUUUGUUAGGCUAAGUGUUUUUAUUUGGUGAAUAUUUCAGUAAUGUACAUUUUUCCUUUGGGGACUUUUGUUAGAUCAUAAUUAUAACAGAAGAUCUCAAUGGAUAGCUUUCUUUAUUUUAGCAUCUUUAGGAGUAAUAUUAAUUGCAAAUUUUAGGUAGAUUUAAACCAAUAAAUGGCCAGUUUCCAAAAGGAUCCUUUUGUGGAGUUUCAGAUUAAUAAAGAUACUUUUUCUUUAAUAAGUGGGCUUAUCAUAGAAGUGAAGUUACUUUCUAUAAGAUGAAGAUAUUUGCAAUAGCUUAAAUAAAUCAAAACUUUGUAGUUUCUAAGGUCAUUCAGAUAGAUUGAUAUUACAGAGGUCACUAGGUAAAUUUCAAAGUAAAAGCUGUCAUCAGGAAUCUUCCCACAGUUCCCUAACAGAGUCUCUGUUUUCAAAUACUGUAAAUACUAAAAAGCCUACACACCUUUCUAGAACUGACCCAUUGGGUAACAACUAAAGGAGAGGCAGGUUGAAUGACAUCUCUGGCUCAUCUUGCUAGAGUUAAAAUGCCCUCUGUGGUUUAUGGCAAGUUUUUUCCCUUCCAUUGCUGGUGAAAUCCAGAAGAGCAAAUAAGUAGAAUUGUAGGAGAGAAAAGUUGAUUGAUCAAUUGAUCAAUAAUAAAUAUUGAUUCAAUGAUAGGACAAGAAAGAGCUCAUUAGGUUGUCAUCUGAAGCCAGUGUCACUAAUUCAGGCUAUCUUCCUUUCAGAAUUCAAGAAAUUCUAUUCUGGCCUCUUCUGGAUUUGGAACAUCUCUCCCAAGUUUAUCACAACCAUUGACUUUUGGAAGUGGAAGGAGCCAGUCCAAUGGGGUUUUAGCUACAGAGAACAAACCUUUGGGCUUCUCUUUUGGCUGUAGCUCUGCUCCAGAGUCUCAGAAAGAUUCUGAUCUCUCCAAAAACUUGUUUUUUCAAUGCAUGUCCCAAACGUUACCCACCAGUAACUACUUCACUACGGUUUCAGAGAGUUUGGCUGAUGAUUCCUCUAGUCGGGACUCAUUCAAACAAAGCCUUGAGAGUCUGAGCUCAGGCCUGUGCAAAGGCAGAUCCACUCUUGGAGCAGACACUAAGCCAGGCUCUAAGGCUGGCAGCGCUGUGGACCGGAAAGUGCCUGCAGAGUCCAUGCCCACCCUUACUCCAGCCUUCCCCCGGAGCCUCCUAAAUACCCGCACCCCAGAGAGUCAUGAAAAUCUAUUUUUACAGCCCCCUAAACUGUCCCGAGAAGAGCCUUCUAACCCUUUCCUGGCAUUUGUGGAGAAAGUUGAACACAGUCCUUUCAGCAGCUUUGCAUCUCAGGCAUCAGGUAGCUCUUCCUCUGCUACCACUGUCACCUCCAAGGCAGCAACCGGCUGGCCCGAGCCUCACUCGUCUGCAGAUUCAGCAUCUUUAGCAAAGAAGAAAACCCUCUUCAUUACAACUGAUUCCUCCAAGCUGGUGUCUGGUGUUCUAGGCUCAACUCUUACCACUGGGGGUGCAAGCCUCUCUGCCAUGGGGAAUGGCCGCUCCAGCUCACCCACCAGUAGCCUCACCCAACCCAUUGAGAUGCCUACUCUCUCCUCAAGCCCCACAGAGGAGAGGCCAACUGUGGGACCUGGGCAACAGGACAAUCCCCUCCUCAAAACCUUUAGUAACGUCUUUGGCAGGCACUCGGGCUGCUUUCUGUCCUCCCCAGUAGAUUUUUCGCAGGAGAACAAAGCUCCUUUUGAAGCUGUGAAAAGGUUCUCACUGGAUGAGCGAAGCUUGGCUUGCAGACAGGACUCAGACUCUAGCACCAACAGUGACCUGUCAGAUUUGAGCGACUCAGAGGAACAGCUGCAGGCCAAGACAGGCCUGAAGGGGAUUCCAGAACACCUGAUGGGGAAGCUGGGCCCCAAUGGGGAGCGUAGUGCGGAGCUGUUGUUGGGCAAGGGCAAAGGGAAACAGGCCCCUAAAGGCCGACCUCGGACUGCACCCUUGAAAGGUGAUCCUGCUAGGGACUAUACGUGGGCUUUGCUCUGGCACUUGCCUCAAAAUGCUUGUGCUUUUGUGCGGCAGAUGCCUUCAUAUUGAUGGAAAGUUCUAGAAUCUUAUAGAAUUAUAGAGGCAAAGAACCUGGCAGAGGCACCUUAUCAAACUUGGUUGAAUCUAUACCAGCAAUGUAAAAGGGUUAUCUGCUCAUAAAAGAGGACUAUUCAUCUUCAUUAGCUUGUUGUUUUUAAUUAGAAACUAUAUGUCCUUGUGUUGAUUUCAUUCCUUUCUAUUUCAUCAUCUUUAAUUUGCUUCCAGGGAGUUACUAAGAAUUAGUUUUCAUUCCCAUAUUAGUUUUCAUCCCUUUGUAGACUUGAUGAAACAAAAAGAUUCACUCCCUUGGUUUGUUCCUCUCUGAAAUGUAAGGAUUUUUAACGCCUCUACCAAAAAUCUAUGAAUUUAUGAUGUGAGGUUAUGGUCUAGAAGUGUAUAAGAGAAAGUCUGGUGGUAAAAGUAGCUGCUUUCAUUAGGAAUUGAUAUCCUGUGAGAGCCCAAAAAGCCUAGAUUAACAGUAGGCAUAUACUGAGUGUCUAAGGGCAGGUGAUGACUACCUUCUGCUGCAUGAGGCACAUACAGUUCUCCUUAGCUCCCAACCAAAGCCUCUUUGUUCCUUGCUCUUCCUUUCUGGGUUCAUGGUAGAUUAUGUGCCCAAGCAGUGCAAAGAGGAAUAGCCCUUUGACCAGUGUUUGUUCACAUGAGGAGUUUGUUAGUGGACCCUACUUAUGCUUCUUCUGACAGCCUUUUCUCCUCCCUUCCUUGCCACAGUUGGCCAGUCAGUGCUGAAAGAUGUGAGCAAAGUGAAGAAGCUCAAGCAGUCUGGAGAGCCCUUUCUACAGGAUGGGUCAUGCAUCAAUGUGGCACCUCACCUGCACAAAUGUCGUGAGUGCCGCCUGGAGCGGUAUCGAAAGUUUAAAGAACAGGAACAAGAUGAUUCUACUGUAGCCUGCCGCUUCUUUCACUUCCGGAGGUACCUAAAUUCCUCUCCUUGCUGUCAUUCCCAGUUUUCACUAGUGCCAUAUAAUUCCCACUCUUUCUCUAAAUCUAUAAAUUUGUCUUUCUCAGUUUUCCAUAACCCCUAUGCUCACAGGGUGUAUGCUGAGGCUUUGUUGUAGUAAUUACUUAGUUGUUGGAAAAUUAUCCGUGGGUUGGUCCUUGCAGGAUUGAAGUGGAGCAGUUUUAGCUGCUGCCAUGUGCUAUUCCUACUAAGCUGUUCCUAAGUUGGGUUCCAUUUGAAACCAGUGGUAUAAGCAGAAGAACUUCAUUUUAUUUUGGGAAUCUGCCUGACCACUUCUUCUUCUUCAGUGCUAGGGUGACUUGAGUCACUUAAGAGAAGUAAGAUUAGGAGAUGAUGUGAAGCACAUUUCUUUUUAUUUUCUCUCUCUCUCCCUUUUUUUUUUUUUUUGAGAUGAGUUUUUACUAUGUUGCCCAGGCUAUCCCUGAACCUGUAGGCUCAAACAAUCCUCCUGCCUCCGCCUCCUGAGUGCUAGGACUAUAGGUGCAUGUUACCCACUUGGCUCAAUGGAGUAUUUUUAAAAUAGAGAUAACUAAUGAAAACAGCAAUAUCUAAUCACUUUUCCUCUUCCUCUAUGAGAAACUUAGGAUCUGUCAAGGCUGAUUUUGUUUUGUUUUUGUUUAUUUGGCAAUACUGGGGAUUUAACCUGGGGGAUGUGGAGCUACAUCCCCAGUCUCUUUUUGUUUUUUGUUUUGAGACAGGGUCUUGCUAAGUUGUUGAGGCUGGCCUAAACCCAUGAUCCUCUAACCUCAGCCUCCCGCGUCAUUGGGAUUACAGGCAUGCACCACCAUGCCCAGCUAAGAAUCUUUCAUUUUUAAAAUUAAAAAAUCCAAAUGGCUGCUGGGCACAGUGGUACACGCCUAUAAUCCCAAUGGCUCGGGAGGCUAAGACAGGAGGAUCGCGAGUUCAAAGCCAGCUUCAGCAAAAGUGAGGCACUAAGGCUCAGUGAGACCCUGUCUCUAAAUAAAAAAAAGAAAAGCUGCUGAUCAGGGCUUGAGGUGUAGCUCAGUGGUAAAACAUUUGCCUAGAUGAGAAAAAUGUGGGAGGACCUGGGGUUUGAUCCCCAGCACCACCAAAAAAUAAAAUAAAAUAAAUAAAGGCUUAUUGGUGUGGAUGACCUUAUUUGGCAAAUAUUUAUUGAGCAUUUAAUAUGUGCCAGUCAUUAUUCUGAACAUUAAGGAUUCAGUAGUGAACAAAACAUUACAUUCUGGUCUCAGAAAGUUUAGGGAGGAAUUAAAGAAGCAGACAGACAAUAAGAGGAAAAAUAAAUUAAGUAAAUAUUAUGUCAAUUAGUAACUUGAGAAAAAUAAAGACGGGAAAGAGGAUUGAAAUUUCGGUAAGCUAGAGAGGCUACUAUUUUAAACCAGGUGAUCUGAGAAAGAGCAGGUUAAGGAAUGACCUAUUAGAGGUGAAAGAAUAAAGCCACACAGUUGUUAUUCAGGAGACAAGUAUUCCAGACAAGUGCUGCCAUUCUGAGACUGGAAUAUUCUUGAUACAUCCAUAGAACUAGUAUAGCUAAAAUAGAGUAAGCAAGGGGAGUAAUAGAGUUGAGAUCAAAGAAUUAAUGAUGAGUCUAGACUUAAUAGGGCUACUCUAAGGGCCUUGAUUUUUACUGUAAAUAAGAUGUUAUUCAAAAAAACAAAAAAGAAGUCAUUAGAGGUUUUGAGCUGAUGAGUAACACUGAUUAAUGUCACUUUAAGUUGGGCAUGGUGGUGCACAUUAUAAUAAUAGCUACUUGGGAGGCUGAGGCAGGAGGAUCACAAGUUCAACUUGGACAACUUGCUGAGACCCUGUCUCAAAACAGAUAAUAAAGGACUAGGGUUGUAGCUCAGUGGUAAUACGCUCCUGGUUUCAAUUCCCAAUUACCACCCACUGCUUUGACUACCUUUGUGGGAAUAGACUAUAUAUGAGGGCAAGGGGAGAAGCACAGAGAAGUUGAGAGACUAUUGAAGGCAGAGUACUCAGAAUUACCUGAUAGGCUAAAUUUGAAAUUUGAAAGAAUUUCCAGCUGGAGAGAUUGAAAUAACAGUUGGAUCUACACCUUUAGAGUUAAGGGAAGAGAUUCAACCUGGAGAUACAAAUUUAGAUAUCACCAGGGAUUUAAAGCCCAUAGUCUAAUUUGAGACCUCAGGAGUCAGCAUGUAGAUAAAGACCAGAAGCAGGGCUAGGGUUGUAGCUUAGUGGUAGAGAUCUCGCCUAGCAUGCACAAGGCACUGGGUUUGAUCCUCAGCACCACAUAAAUGUAAAAUAAAGAUAUUGUGUCCAUCUAAAAAUUAAAAAUAAAAAAAGAGUCUUAGGACCAGAAGCAUUCUGAGAACUGAGCUCUGGCAUUCUCCAGAAAUGGGAAGUAUUAAAAGGAAUUAGUAAAGGGGACUGAGAAAAGACAGCCACUGAGGACAGAAAAACAGGAAGGUCGGGUGCAGUGGUACAUGCCUAUAAUCCUAGCGACUCAAGAGGCUGAGGCAGAAGGAUUUCAAGUUUGAAACCAACCUCAACAACUUAGGCCCUAGGCAACUCAGGGAGACCUGUCUCAAAAUUAAAAUUUUUAAAAAGGGCUGGGUAUGUGGCUCAGUGGUUAAGUUCCCCUGGGUUCAAUCCCUGGUACAAAAGAGGGAGAGAAAGAGUGAGACAACUGAAGAAAGCACUUCCAGAAAGGAAUAAGGAACUAUGUCAAAUGCUGGCAGGUUGUGUAAGGAAAGGACUGAAAGUGACCUUUUGAUAGCAAGAUGAAAUGACCUUGUCAAAAGUAGUUUUGGUAGUUUGGUAGGCAGAAUGUCUUAUUGUACUGGAUUAGGGAAAACAUAAAGGAAAGGAAAUGGUAGCAGACUUGAAGGAAACUUGGGUCUAACAAGCCAAAAAAAAUGGAGGAGGAUGUGAGGUUGAGAGUAUUUUUGUAAUGGUUAUUGUAGCACGUUUAAAUGCUGAUUUUGUAGAGCAUUAAUAAAUGAUAAUUGGAACCAGGCUUGGUGGUGCAUGCUUGCAAGCCCAGUGGCUCGGGAGGCUGAGACAGGAGGAUUGUAGGUUCAAAGCCAUCCUGUACAACAGCGUAAGACCCUGUAUCUAAAUAAAAUACAAAAUAGGGCUGUGGAUAUGAUUCAGUGUUCAAGUGCCCCAGAAAAAAAAAAAAGAUUGGUAGAGAAAAAGCUAGAUGAUAUAGAAAAGAGGGAAAUUAGUGGAGGAGUGCCUUUGGGUUGGGGAAAAGGGACGGGUGUAGGUGAAGAUAUUAACUUUCAAAUGGACCUCAUUCAGAGCAGGAGAUCAAAUGAAGAACAUGGGCCCAUUUGCAGGAGAGUAUCCACACUUUGGAAUGUGUGGGAUGGGAGCUUGUGAACAAUCUCUUCUGGCUUGUACCAGUAGAACAGGAAGUGAGGUUCUCACAGGGAAUGUAAUUUCAGAAGUAUGAAAAGAAGGAGAGUAUGAAAAUAGGCAUCUAGGAGAGAGAAUCCUCCUGAGGUAGGUAUACAGGAAUUUUAUUUAUUUAUUUUUUUUAGUUUUAUUUUUUGUGGUACUGUAGAUCAAACCCAGGGCCUCACACAUGGUAGAUAAGUACCCUACCACUAAGCUACAUCCCCAGCCCUAUACAUGAGUUUAAAAUGUGAUGAUGAUAUUUUAUUUUUUUCUAGUCACAUUCAGUGGCAUGGGUGCAGUUGUAGAACAGGGAGACAGAAAAACUGAUAAAACUGGUGACAGCUUUUUAAAGAAUCAAUACCUGCUAAGUGUUAAGCCUUCGUAUUAGCUGAGAACAUGUGCAGUUAGCCCUCCAUAUCUACUGGUUUCACAUCCACAGAUUUAACUAACUGUAGAUUGAAAACAUAUUUAAGAUUACAACUGUGCGUGUAUUAAACAUGUAAACACUCUUUUCUUUGUUAAUUAUUUCUUAAUAUAGUAUAAAAAUUAUUUACAUAGUGUUUACAUUAUAUUAAGUAUUGUAAGUGAUCUAGAGAUGACUUAAAGUAUAUGGGAGGACAUACAUAGAUUUUAUGCAAGUACUAUACCAUUUAAACAACCACAGGUUUUGGUAGCUGGGGCAGGGCAGGGAUGUGGCCUGAAAGCAAACCUCCUUGGAUCCCAAGGACAACGGUAUUUGACUGUCUUCUUUUUUCAGGUUGAUCUUCACUCGAAAAGGGGUGCUUCGUGUGGAGGGGUUUCUAAGCCCUCAGCAAAGUGACCCUGAUGCCAUGAACUUGUGGAUUCCUUCUUCCUCCCUAGCAGAAGGGAUAGACCUAGAGACCUCAAAAUACAUUCUGGCCAAUGUUGGGGACCAGUUCUGUCAGCUUGUAAUGUCUGAGAAGGAGGCCAUGAUGAUGGUGGAGCCACAUCGUAAGACAUUCUCUUGCUUGUUUCCAGAUACUUUUCAUUGUAAACUGUUUUCUUUCACUUAAAGGAGGGUUAAAGUGGAAGAUGGCAUUUUUCUGUGAAUGAAUUAAGACCAAUAAGUUUUCUUUUUGUAGUAACUAUAGCUGAGGCCUUAACUAUAUCCAGCAGACUUUAUUUUUUCAAGUCUUUGACAAUUAACCAAAAAAAACUUACCAAAAUAAUUUUAUCAUUUUAUAAUCCUACCAGCAAUGUAUAGAGGUUCCUUCCCUGCCUGUCAUUUUUUGUUACACAGGUGCCAUAAGACACAUUUGAAUCCCCAAUUUUAUUUUUAUUUUUUUUAUUUCAAGACAGCACCUUGCUACAUUGCUUAGGGCCUUGCUAAGUUGCUGAGGCUGGCCUCAAACUUGUAAUCCUCUUCCCUCAGCCUCCCAUAUUACUGGGAUUACAGGCAUGUACUGCCAUGCCCAGCUGGUUUAUCCUGAAUAUUUUUAGUUUGCUUUAAACAUAUUUGUAUUAAUAAGUAAUACUCUGGUUUGUGAAUAAAUGAGGUGGACCACCUACCAUAUUUAUACCUAGAACCCACAUAAUUAUUAAGACAUUUAUAGUAGUUCCAUAUCUAUAAGUUACUAUACACUAUCCCCAGACCAGGAAAGACUAUACAUGAAAUCAUGUCCUAAAUUUCAAGAGACAAAUCUUACUUAAAGCUUUCCCCAGGUUAAAAUUUUAUAGUGUCUUAAGUGACAACAUGUAGCAUUAACACCAGGCUAUCAUAACCUGGUAUUACCACAGACCUUUGAAAUGUUAGACAUUCCUCAUAUAUUUUUUUCUCCUCUUAAAAUUAUAGAAGCACAAACUUCAUCCGAGCACAGUGGCACAUGCCUGUAAUCCCAGCAGCUUGGGUAGCUGAGGGGCAAGGAGGAUCACAAGUUCAAGCCAGCCUCAGCAACGGCAAGGUGCUAAGAAAAUCAGUGAGACCCUGUCUCUAAAUAAAAUACAAAAAAUUAGGGCUGAGGGUGUGGCUCAGUAGUCAAGUACCCCUGAGUUCCAUCCCCAGUACUCCCUUCAAAAAAGAAAGAAACACAAACUUCAUGAAUAUUUGAGUUUUAUUACUAGACAGAAUGGUUUGAAUGGGGAUCAGCGAAUCAGGGUCUUUUGCUAGUGAUUAGGAUUAUCAGUGCCAACAUUAUUACUUUUUCUCUUUCCACCAGAGAAAGUUGCAUGGAAGCGAGCUGUGCGUGGUGUGCGGGAGAUGUGUGAUGUAUGUGAAACAACUCUUUUCAACAUCCAUUGGGUUUGUCGCAAAUGUGGAUUUGGGGUCUGCCUUGACUGCUACCGGCUCAGGAAAAGCCGUCCACGGAGUGGUAAGCAAAUAUUGUCUGAUAAAAUUCUAAAGGGAACCUUUAUGUAUCAGUUGAGUUGUGAAACUUGGAAAUUGAAGGAGUAAUCAGCUUGUACUGCUUAGUUCCAUUUGUCUUUGUUGUAAGACCUUAAAAUUUCCAAUGCUCAGUUUAUCUGGGAAGGCUAAAAAAAAAGCCAGGAAGGAUCAUUCCUCAUCUUUCCUUGUUCUGUUUGGUUUUAAAAAUAUCUUUAUUGAAGUAUAAUUCACACCAUAAAAUUUACCCUUUUAAAAUGUAUAAUUAAAUGAUUUAAAUCAUAAGAUUGUGCAACCAUCACCAUUAAUUCCAUUUAAUAUCUUUUAGGAGUCCAUUCACCAUUCCUACCUCCCCCGGCCUUGGCUACCACUAAUUUAAUUUCUAUCUGAAGGUUUGCCUAUUCUGGUCAUAUCAUGUAAAUGGAAUCAUAAAAUAUUUGAUCUUUUGUGACUGGCCUAUUAGCAUAAUGCUUUAAAGUUUCAUCCAUUUGUAGUUCUUCAGUCUUUUUUCUUUUUCAGUACUCAGGACUGAACUCAGAGCCCAUGAGUGCUAGUCAAGAGUUGUACUACUGAGCUACAUCUCCAGCCCUUAAUUUUUUUUUUUUUUGUAAAUUUUUUUUAUAGUAGUGGACACAAUACUUUAAUUUUAUUUUUAUGUGGUGCUGAGGAUCGAACCCAGUGCCUCACAUGUGCGAGGUGAGCGAUAUACCAACUGAGUUAUAACCCCAGCCCCUUAAUUCUUUUUUUGUAUUGCCAAGCAGUAUUCCAUUGUAUCAAUAUAGUACUAUAUUUUUUCUAUCAACUGAUGUACAUGUGGGUUGUUUUCACUUUUGGCUGCUAUGCAUAGUGCCACUGUAAACAUUUGUAUAUAAGUUUUUGUGUGGACAUAUGAGUUGUCUUGGUUAUACACCUAAAAGUGGAAUGACUGGGUCAUAGGAUAACUAUACAUUUAACCUUUUGAGUACCUGGACAUGGUGGCACACACCUAUAAGCCCAGCUACUUGGGAGCAGAAGUUGGUAGAUCUCAUUUUGAGGCCAGCCUAAGCAACAUAGCAAAACCACCUCUCAAAAAAUAAUAAUUGGCCAAGUAUAUUGGCACAUGUCUGUAAUAUUAGUAACUCAGGAGUCAGAGACAGGAGAAUUGCAAGUUCAAAGCCAGCCUCAGCAACUUAGGCCCUAAGCAACUCAGUGAGACCCUGUCUCUAAAUAAAAUGAAUAAAAUAAAAAUUGCUGGGAUGUUGUUCAGUGAUUAAGCACCCUAGCUCCAAUCUCUGGUACCAAAUUGAAAAAAAGAAAAGAAAACAGGAUAACAUAGAUAAAUCAGUUUCAAAUAUUGAGCAUUAGGCAGUGUGGGACUAUGAUACCUGAGAGAAGGGGAGAAUCGGUGGUUCCUGCAAUUGUCCUAGCUUAGUACCUAGGGCCAUUUUCCAGGCUGUAACCCUGGAAAGGGAACUAAAACGGAAUCUGGCAACCUCACUACAUUGAGACAGAGGUCAGAGUCUGAGAAGAAUAAGCGUAGGACUGAAGAGAAGGGAGCUGCAGAGAGAACAUGAGGAAUCUACAGAGGUCCCUUCAAUUUUUUGUCAUAUACUGAUCUGCACAUGCAUGAGAUGAAACUCCUCAAGGCCUAAGAAUGAACUUUUAGUAAACAACUGAGUAAUUUGUAGACCUUACAAUUUGCAUUCCCAUCAACCAGAGUUAAGGAGAUACUUGGUAGAGUCCAAAAGAAUAACACCUUAAUACUGGACUUAAUAUAGCGCCAGAAUGAAAACUUCUCUGGACCUGCCAUAGGAAAGUGUAAAACAAGCCUCAGAAGAAUCAAACUGACAUGCAAGUUACUUAACUACACUAGAUUAAAGCCCAACAUCUCUUUUUAAGAGAUUACAAUAAAAUCAGUGCCCAGAAACAUAAAAGUCACAAAUUCUUUAUUUAGUUUUAAUUAUCAGAUUUGUAAAACCUGGGCAUAGUGAUACGUGAUUGUAAUCCCAGCUAUGGCAGGAGGAUCACAAGUUUGGGACUAGUUGGACAACUUAGCUAGACCCUGUCUCAAAUUAAAAAAAAAAAAAAAAAAAAUUAAAAGGAUUUGGGUUGUAGCUCAAUGGUACUGGUGGGGAGAAUUCAUAUAAUUCAAAAGAAGUCAAGAAAAAUGAAACUAAAAUAAACUGUAACAAAUAGAAAACAGCUUUAUAGGAAACCUACUUUAAAUGUGAAGACACAGUUUAAAAGUAAAAAAGACGGAAAAUUAUAUCCAUGGCUAACAUGACUUUAAAGAAGUUAACUGUGAGUAUCAGACAAGGUACACUUUAAAGCAAAUAAAUAUUAGUAAGUAUAAUGUAGGUCAUUUCAUAAUAAUAAAGGAAGAGCAAAUAAAUAUUAGUAGGUAUAAUGUAGAAAUCAGUUCAUUGACAAGAAAAUAACAGAGCUGGGGUUGUAGCUCGGUGAAAUUAGACAACAUGCUGUAAAUAACCCGUAGGUCAAAAAACAAAUCACAAGAGAAAUUAGAAAAUGUUUGAAAUGAAUGAAAAUAAGAACAUCCACAUUGUGGUAUGCAGCUAAUGCGGGGAAUUUUAUCACUAAACGCCUAUAUUAGAAAUGUCUCAUUUGCCUAAAGAAACUAGAAAAAAUGAAAAUAUGCAGUUUACCAGUAUUAAGAAUGAGAUGAUGAGGGCUAGGGUUGUGGCUCAGUGGUAGAGUGCUCGCAUGCACAAGGCACCCGGUUCGAUCCUCAGCACCACAUAAAUGUAAAAUAAAGAUAUUGUAUCCACCUAAAGCUUAAGAAUAAAUAUUUUAAAAAAAUAUGAGAUGACCUCACCACUAAUCAAUCAGACAUUAGAAAGGAUAAUGAAUAAAAUUAUGAACUUUAUGUCAAUAGACUUGAUAAGAAAUAUAACAAAUUCCAUGAAAGAUACAAACCAUCUGAAUUCUCUUAAGAAGAAAUAGAUUACCUGAAUAACCUUAUUUUAAGCAGUUGAGGCUACUCACCUGUAUUUUAAGAAAUUAAGGCUAUUGGGGCUGGGGUUGUGGCUCAGUGGCAGAGAGCUUACCUAGCAUGUGUGAGGCACUGGGUUCAAUUCUCAGCACAGCGUAUCAAUAAAUAAAAAAUAAAAAUAAUAAAAGUCCAUUGACAACUAAAAAAAUAUUUUAAAAAAAGGAAAUUAAGGCUGAAAGUUCAAGGUCAAGCUGGGCAACUUAGGCCCUGUGAAACUUAGUGAGACCCUAUCUUUUUUUUUUUUUAAUAUUUAUUUCUUUUAGUUGUACACAAUGCCUUUAUUUUUAUUCAUUUAUUUUUAUGUGGUGCUGAGGAUCGAACCCAGGGCCUCACACAUGCCAGGCAAGCGCUCUACUGCUGAGCCACAACCCCAGCCCCAAGACCCUAUCUUAAAAUAAAAAAUAAAAAGGGGUGGUGAAUGUAGCUCAGUAAUAAAGCACCCCUGGGCUCAAUCCCAAGAGAGAGAAAAGAGGAAAUACAUUACCUGAAUAAACUUAUUUUAAGAAGUUGAAGCUACUUAGGAGGCUGAAACAGAAGGAUUGCCAAGUUCGAGGCCAGCCUGAGCAACCUAGCAAGACCCUGUCUCAAAAAUAAAAUGGGUCCCUAGGUUCAGUCCCAAGUAGUGAGUAAGGGAGGACAAAUGAAUUUGUAGUUUAAAAAAACUUCCAAUGAAGCCAGGCGUGGUGGCACAUGCCUAUAAUGCCAGCGUUGAGGGAGGCUGAGACAGGAGGAUCACAAGUUCAGAGCCAGCUCCAGUAACAGCGAAGUGCUAAACUAAACUCAAUGAGACACCCUGUCUCUAAAUAAAAUACAAAAUAAGGCUGGGAUAUGGCUCCGGGGUUGAGUGCCCCUGAAUUCAAUCCCUGGUACCCACCCCCACCAAAAAAAAAAAAAAAAAAAACUUCCAAUGAAGAAAACUUAUGGCCCAGAUGGUUUUACUGGUAAGUUAUAACAAACAUUUCAGAAGGAAAAUACUAUCAAUUGUACUCACACUCUUUCAGAAAAUAGGAGAAAACACUAACUCAUUUUAUGAUGUUAGCAUUACAACACAUUAAUACCACAACCAGAUGAAGAUAUAACAAGCAAGGAAACUUAGAGCCCCCAAUAUCUCUCAUGAGUAUAUAUUUAACAGUUAAAAAUCAAUCAAUGCAAUUUAUUAUCAGUAAACACUAAACAUAAUUAUUUCAAGAAAUGCAGGAAAAAAACAUUUCUCAAGAUUCUCAACAAACAGCAGUGGUCAUGGCCAAGUGGUUAAAGUGAUGGACUAGAUUCUCAACAAAUUAGGUCAUGUAUUCUCAAAUGGUGAGAAUUGGUUCUUUCAGGAGAAGGGGAAUCUAAGAAGUUACAGGUUGACUAACCCUAAUUCAAUACCCUUGAGACAAAAAUGUUUCCAAUUUUAGAUAUUUUUAAAAAACAUUUUGUAGUGUUUACCAUAGACCUUACAGAUUGAACAUUCCUAAUCUGAAAAUCUUGAAUCUGAGAGCUGGGAAUAUGUGGUAGAUCCUCGCGUAGUAUGCAUAAAGUCCUGGAUUUGAUUCCCAGCAUUGAAAAAAAAAAGAAAGAAAAAAAACCUCUGAAAGUCCAAGAAAUUUUGAGCACACAUAAAGUUUCAGAUAUGGUUGCUUAACAUGUAUGACAAUGGUUCAUGCCUGUCCAGAGGACCACAGUACAUAAGCAGACAUAUUGUAUAUGUGGUAUUAAAAUCGUAGGAUGGCAAGCACAGUUUAAAAAAAGAAAAAAAAAAGCUUAAAGGGGCUGGGGAUGUGGCUCAAGCGGUAGUGUGCUCGCCUGGCAUGCGUGCGGCCCGGGUUCGAUCCUCAGCACCACAUACAAAGAUGUUGUGUCCGCUGAAAACUAAAAAUAAAUAAAUAAAUAUUUAAAAAAAAAAAAGCUUAAAAAUGUUCUUUGAAAGGAUGAUAAAGUUAGAAAAACACUCCAGUGUCAGUAGGAGCAUCAUACAUAAUUGGAAAGACUGGAAAGCAAGGAUGUCCACUUUCAGAACUCCUUGUCAUCAUCAUUGUGCUGGAAUGAUUAGUAUAAAGAAAUAAAAGACAUAAGAUUGGAAAAAAGUAAAAUGAUUAAUCUCACAUGGAAUGAUUAUGCAGAAAAUCCUAAGAAAUGUAUAGAAAAGUCAACCUACAGAAAUCUGUUUAUCUUAUUUCUAUGUGAUGGCAGUCAACAUUUAGAAAUUGAAAUUUAAAUCAAUAUCACUUAGAAUAGCAUCAAAACAUGAAGUGAGCUGAGCACUGUGGUGCACACCUGUAAUCCCAGCGACUCAGGAAGCUGAAACUGGAGGAUCCCAAGUUCAAAGCCAGAUUCUGCAACUUAGCAAGACCCUGUCUCUAAAUAAAAUAUAAAAAGGUCUGGGGAUGUGGCUCAGUGGUUAAGCACCUCUAGGUUCAAUCCCUGGUACAAAAAAAAAAAAAACAAACAAACAUGAAAUGGGGCUGGGGUUGAGGCUGAGUGGUACAAUGCUUGCCUGAGGCCAAUCUCCAGCACCACACACAAAAAAAAAAAACACCUUAGGGAUAAAUGUAGCAUAUCCAUAGAAGACAUAGAAUACCUAAGUAAAUGGAGAUAUGUACUAUAUUCAUGUACAGAUUGAAUACAAAGAUGUCAGUUCUUCUAAAAUAAUGUAUAAUUGAAAACAAUUCAAAAUCAAAAACCCAGUGGGUGUUUUUGUAGAAAUUGAUAAACUGAUUCUAAAAUUUAUGUGAUGGAGAAUGAUAUUGGCUAAAUUAUAUUGAGUGCAUGUACAAAUUAUACACAAUGAAUCUCACCAUUGUGUAUAAUUAUAAUGUACUAAUAAAAAUAUGGGAAAGAAAUGACACAUAAAUAAAUAAGUAAAGUUUAAGUGAAAUGCCAUAGGGCAUGGAAUGGUGGUCCACACCUUUAAUCCCAGUGACUCGAGGCUGAAGCAGGAGAAUCACAACUUCAAAGCCAGCCUGGGUAACUUGUGGGACCCUGCCUCAAAAAAUAAAAAGGGUUGGGGAUGUAGCUCAGUGGUAAAAUGCCCGUGGGUUCAAUCCCCAGUACUGCCUAAAAUUGUAUGUGAAAUGCAAAACCUAGAAUAACCCAAACAAAAAAAGAAAAAACAGAGUUGAAGGAUUGUCCUGUGCUUCAUUCCAAGACUUGCCAUAAUGCUGUAAGUAAUCAUUAUAAAAAAUACUGUAAGUGGACUAUAGUCCUAAAUUUAAAGAUUAAGGUGAAGAAAGUAUUUGUGUUCUUGAGUUAGACAAAUAUUUCUCAGGACAUGAAAAGCAAAAAAAAAAGAAAAAAUUUAAUAUCAAAUUUUAAAACUUGUUCUUCAGGGGCUGGGGCAGUAGCUCAGUGGUAGAGUGCUCACCAGGCAUGCAUGAGGCACUGGGUUCGAUCCUCAGCCCUACAUAAAAAUAAACAAAAUAAAGGCAUUCUGUCCAUCUACAGCUAAAUAUAUAUAUAUAAAAGUUGACUUUAAAAAAAAAAAACUUGAUCUUCAGAAGACACUGUUAAGGAAAUUAAAUGAGACCACAGACUGGGAAAAAAUAUUUAUCAAUCAUAUUCACUAAAGAAUUUUGUCUGUAAUACCUAAAGACCUCUCACAGCACAAUAACAAGACAACCAAGUUUUAAAAUGAGCAAAAGAUCCAAAAAGGAAGAUCAAGGGGGCUGGUGGUAUUGGUGGAGUGCUUGCCUAGCAUGCACAAGACCCUGGGUUCAAUCCCUAGCACCACACACAAAAAAAAUCAACCCCACAGUAGUAGCUCACACCUGCAAAUUCCAGCUACUUAGAAGGCUGAGGCAGAGUAUGAUGAGUUCGAGGUCAACCUAGGCAAUCAUAUGAUCUAGCUUCACUCUCUUAGGUUGUUAACAAAAGAAAUGAAAACAUGCCUAUACAAAGACUUGUACAUGCAUGUCUAUAACCACUUAUCUCAUUAUAGCUUGGAAGCAAUUCAAAAGUCUACUAAAUGAUAAAUAGAUAAGGAAAUUGUUAUAUAUCUAUACUUUAGAAUACCACCCAAAGAGAAUGAAGAGCUAAGGAUAUAGUUCAGUGGUAGAGUGCUUGCUCAGCAUAUUCAAGGCCCUGGGUUCAACUUAAAAAAAAAAAAAAAGAAUUACUGGUACAAACAAUACAGAAAUACAGAUGAAUCUCAAAAGUGUAUGCUGAGUAAAACCCAACACAAGUGACUACAUCCUGUGUGCUUCCAUUCAUAUGAAAUUCUAAUAAUAUAAAACUUUAGUAUUAAAAAGUGGAUCAGUGAGGGGCUGAGGUUGUGGCUCAGUGGCAGAGCACUUGCCUUGCACAUGUGAGGCACUGGGUUCAAUCCUCAGCACCACAUAAAAAUAAAUAAGCAAAAUAAAGAUAUUGUGUCCACUUAUAACUAAAAAAAAAAAAAACUGGAUCAGUGGCCAGGUGCAGUGGCACACUCCUAUAAUCCCAUUGGCUUGGGAGGCUGAGGCAGGAGGAUUAGGAGUUCAAAGCCAGCCCCAGAAACUUAGCAAGACCUUAAACAACUUAGUGAGACCCUGUCACUAAAUAAAAUACAAAAUAGGGCUGAGGAUGUGGCUCAGUGGCUUGAGUUCCCCUGAGUUCAAUUCCCCAUACCCGCGCCCCCGCCCCCCCAAAAAAAAUAAAAAGGUAGGAAGGAAAAUGGAUCAGUAGAAGCUAAAAUUCAACAAAGAGUAUUAGCUCAAGAUAUAGGAUAAAAGUGUUCUGUAUCAUGAUUGUGACAGAGUUUGUACAACUGAAUGAAUGUUUGUUGAAACUCAUUGAGGCACACAUUUUAAAUUGUUGGUUUAUUUUAUAUAAAUUAUAUCAGAGUAAAGCAGGUGUUUUUAAAGUUAGCUGUUACCUUCUUUCACCAUGAGAAAAUUUACCUUUAAGUUUUUGAAGCUUUGUCUCACUAAGAGGGAUCCAUCUUGUGAGCCUAAUAAAAUAAAUGAAAUCAUUCGUUUCUGUUUCAGAGACAGAGGAGAUGGGUGAUGAAGAGGUUUUCUCCUGGUUAAAGUGUGCAAAGGGACAGUCACAUGAACCAGAGAAUCUCAUGCCCACACAGAUCAUCCCUGGCACAGGUAAGGAAAUUUCUUUUUAUCUUUUUUUUUUCCCUAACAUGCAUAAGGCCCUGGGUUCGAAUACAAGCAAUGGGAAAAAAAAAAAAAAGAGGUACAUUGUUGGGUUUUGUUUUUGGUACCAGGCAUUGAACCCUGGGGCACUUAACCACUGAGCCACAUCCCCAGCCCUUUUUAUAUUUUUUAUAAAGACAGUGUCUUGGGCUGGGGAUGUGGCUCAAGCGGUAGCGCGCUUGCCUGGCAUGCGUGCGGCCCGGGUUCGAUCCUCAGCACCACAUACAAACAAAGAUGUUGUGCCCCCCGAUAACUAAAAAUAAAUAAAUAAAUAAAUAAAUAUUAAAAAAAAAAGACAGUGUCUUGCUGGUUUGCUGAAUCUGGCCUCAAACUUGGAAUCCUCCUGCCUCUGCCUAGUGUUUUUUGCUUUUUUGGUGUUUGGGGGUUUUCUUUCUUUGUUUUUUGUGCUACUGAAGAUUGAACCUAGGGGCACUUUACCACUGAGCUACAUCCUACACCCCCCAGCCCUUUUUUAUUUUUCAUUUUGAGACAGAGUCUCCCUGAGUUGUCCAAGCAGGCCUUAAAUUUGGAUCUUCUUGGCUUAGCUUCCCUAGUAACUAGGAUUACAGCUUAUGCCACCAUUCCUGUCUGGGAAAAAAAAGUGUUUUUAAUUGAAAUAUUUACAUUCCAUAAAAUUUGGUGAAAUGGUUUAUCUUAGUUUGAGGGUUUUGGUUGUUUUUUUAUUUUAUUUGUUUUUUAAGCCUAAACUGAGCCUACUGGCACAUAUCAUUAAUCCCAACAACUCUGUAGGCUGAGGCAGGAGAAUUGCAAGUUCAAGGCCAGACUUAGCAACUUAGAGAGACCCUAUCUCAAAAUUUAAAAAAAAAGGGGGGGGGGGGGCUGGGCAUAUAGCUCAGUUGGUAGAAUGCUUGCCUCUCAUGCACAAGGCCCUGGGUUCAAUCCCUAGCACCACAAAAAAAAAAAAAAAGCUUCACCAGAUUUCUCAGAAUUUGAAUCUUUAGAUAUAUAUAUAGUGCAUGCAGCAACUGCAUAUUCUGUACUGUCUUUCUGGUCAUAAGACAUAGCUCACUGGGUUUCUAGCUAUCAUUUCACAUUCCUAUGGUUGGCUGGACUAGAAUGAAAAAGCCAGUCCCUAGGGUUCCAGAAAGACCUCUGGUUUUAGGCUUAUAAUAAUCCAGCUGAAGGUAAUCAAACCCCUUGAACCCUUGAGGAAGGUGGCUAGCUUAAUAGUAAGAACAAAUGAUGAUAUUUAUGUCACAAAUCCAGUUUACUGCAGUGAUUCCUCCAGAAGUUCUGUAUCCCCAGCUUUCACAUUUCCAUUAACAUACAUGUAUUGGAGUUCUGACUUUGCCAAACCACUGCCCAUCUACUCCUUUACUUAAGGAAGCUUUAGGGGGUAUCUCCAUUGUUUUCAAUUAAGGGCUUCCUGGGUACAGUGGUAGGAUGUCUGUUCCCUACUGGUUUUAGCAUGGUUAUACAUGUGCUUAUGUAAAAUUUACAUUGAUCUAUUUUUUCUUCACCUUUUUUUAUUUAUUUUUUAGGGGAGCCGGAGAUUGAAUUCAGGGGUACUCAACCACUAAGCCACAUCUCCAGCCCUAUUCUGUAUUUUAUUUAGAAACAAGGUCUCACUGAGUUGCUUAGUGCCUCAGCCUCCUGAGCCACUAAGAUUACAGGCAUGCACCACCACGUCAGGCUCUUCACCUUUUUUUAAAAGUAUAAUUUGCGGGCUAGGGACAUAGCUCAGUUGGUAUAGAGUGCUUGCCUUGCAUGCACAAGGCCCUGGGUUUAAUCCCCAGCACCACACAAAAAUAAUAAUAAUAAUAAUAAUUACAAUAAAGUGUACAAUUCAGAAUGUUUGUACUCUAGAUCAUUAAGGAUUAUACCCCUCAAGAUCUUCUGAAGGAAAUCUUGUUAAUUCUUUUUUUUUUUUUUUUAAUAAUAUUCCCUUUUAAUGAUUUUUUUUUUUUUAGAGAGAGAGAGAGAGAGAGAAUUUUAAUAUUUAUUUUUUAGUUUUCGUCGGACACAACAUCUUUGUUUGUAUGUGGUGCUGAGGAUCGAACCCGGGCCGCACACAUGCCAGGCAAGCACGCUACCGCUUGAGCCACAUCCCCAGCCCCUUGUUAAUUCUUAAUAGAGGAGAGAGAGAGUGUGGCUCAGUGGUUAAGAAUUUUUGGGCUAGAUAUGUGAGUUGAAGUCUUAGUACUUCCUUUUACUAACUUUAUGUACUUGAGCAAAUGAUCUAACUUCUUUUAGUUUCAAUUCAUCAUCAAAAAUUAGGGAUAAAUGCAGUUAACACAUUGAAAUGUGGUAAGGAUAAAGGGAAAUAAUAUAAAGAACGUUCUUAGCAAAAUAUGUCUCACAUACAAGUGUUCCAAUAUUAAUUAUUAUAUUUUUUCCAAGCUCUUUACAAUAUUGGAGACAUGGUACAUGCUGCCCGGGGCAAGUGGGGAAUUAAAGCAAACUGCCCUUGUAUCAGUCGGCAAAACAAAUCUGUGUUGAGACCUGCUGUCACCAAUGGGAUGUCACAGGUAAAGUGGUAUGUGUGGUAUAACUAAGUGAAAUUUCAGUUCUUAUUGCCAGUAAAUGCCCCAUUUUCAACAGUGUUUUUCCAGGCCUUUACAAGGUUUCUGAGGAAUUAGGGAAUGGGGAAACCUUUCUAGAGAGCCCAAAAAAUUUACUGAAGGGAUUUUUAAGGUGUGGUUUCUUUUCAUUCAUCUUUAAACCAGUUCUUGGUUGAUAAAUUGCAUGGAGAGUCUCUGUAUCUUGUCAAGGUCUUUUUGUGGGUGAAAACUACAGAAAAGGUUUUUAGGAAUACUUGUGGUUUUUUCAGUCCUGUCUGAGAAGGUACAUCGUCCUAUUAAUGGGUUCAUCUUAGGUACAGAGGACAGAAAUUUGAAGAGUUGGAUUGGUUCUACCCUCAAAGCAAUCGUAAUCCUCCAGAGAGGUAGUGAUUUUUCUCACUGCCCUCUCAGAGACGGGCCAUUCUGGUUUGAUGGUGACUAUGUUGAACAAGCAGUUGUUUUUUAAAAAAGAACCUGCAGCUUACUGUUUACAAUUUGAAGUCUUUCUCGGAAUACCAUGUUUGUUUGAUAAGAGGCACAGGGAUGGAUGCUAAGAGAUCUAGAGAUAUAUUUUUAGCCAGGUUCAUAUAUCAGAGCAAAUAAUUUGGAAAAUUCAGUAAUGUAAUAGAGUGAUAACAUUUAUUAAGCAUUUAUGUGUGCCAGAACUAUGCUAAGCCCUUUCCAUAUGCUAUCUCAUUUAACCCCCAGAAGAACUUAAUGAGUUUUAAUCACCAAUAUGUCAUUGGGGAAAUUAUUUCAGGCAUGCUAAAUCUUUAUUUUAGAUUAUAAACUUUAAGUCUUAUCCCUGUAUUUUCCAUAGAACCUAGCACAGUUUCUAGUGCAUAGUACAACUCAAUAAAUAUACGUCAAAUUAAAAAAUUGGUGAAAUAACAGUUUAUGGGACAGUUUCAAAUUAUUCUUCCAGACCUAUUUAUUGUCAGCAGCCAUUACUAGUCAUGUUUAAUUUUCUCUACCUAAACCAACCACUUUAACCACACUUUUAACAAGUACUUUUAACUUUCCAUGCUUUAGCUUCCCAGCAUAAACCCUAGUGCCUCUUCUGGAAACGAAACUACCUUCUCAGGUGGAGGAGGAACUGCAACAGUCACAGCACCAGAGACUGACCAUGUUUCCAAACCUGAGGGCACUGACAUCAGAUCUGAAGAGCCCCUGAAGGGAGACAGUUCAGCAUCAAAUAGCAAUAGUGAGCUAAAAGCCAUCAGGCCCCCAUGCCCUGACACGGCUCCUCCCUCCUCUGCCCUGCAUUGGUUGGCAGAUUUAGCAACUCAGAAGGCUAAAGAAGAAACAAAAGGUGAGAUGAACACCUUUUGCCCUUCCUAUGGGAGGAACCUGAAGGUUUUUCUGGGAUUCUUCAGACUCACACAUUAUCAUACACAUUAAUGAAACAUGCGUCUUGCUUUCUCUGGCUAAUCACACAAAUGAGGGAAUCUCUUUUCAAUUUCUUUCUAGAAAUAGACCUUUUCUAAAGACAUAUACCCGGGCCCGCCUUCAGGCCUCCCUAGUGAGAAUUGAUGCAAAGUUUUUUGUUGUUGUUUCCUGGGUUUUUUUUGUUUGUUUGUUUUGGGGUUUUUUUAGUUGUCAAUAGGCCUUUAUUUUAUUUAUUUAUAUGUGGUGCUAAGAAUCGAACCCAGUGCCUCACACAUGCUAGGCAAGUGGUCUACCACUAAGCCACAACUCUAGCCCAAAGCAAAGUUUUAGCAAGCUUCCCAGAAGUUCUGUUUUUCAGCCCAAAACACCAAUAAUCUCCAUUUUAUAUAUAUGUGUGUGUGUGUAUGUAUGUGUAUAUAUGUAUGUAUAUGUAUUUUAAUAAAUAUAAAUAUAUAUAUAUUUUUUAGUUUUUAAUGGACCUUUAUUUUAUUCAUUUAUUUAUAUGUGGUGCUGAGAAUCCAACCCAGUGCCUCACACGUGCUAAGCAAGCACUCUGCUGCUGAGCCACAACCCCAGCCCCAACAAUCGCCAUUUUUUUUUUUUAAGUUGUAGAUGGACACCGUAUCUUUAUUCAUUUGUUUUUAUAUGGUGCUUAGGAUCAAACCCAGUGCCUCACACAUGCGAGACAAGCACUCUACCACCUAGCUAUAACCCCAGUCCAACAAUCUCCAUUUUUAACAGGGACUCCAGAUGAUUCCAAUACCCGUGUUCUGGUGACCCACCUGAGUAGCUUGCUCUCUCUCUCUUUUUUUUUUUGGUGGAGGUGUUUGUGGUUAAGUUUUGAAACCAGAGCCUCAUGCAUGCUGGGCAGUCACUUUACCAUUGAGCUAUAUCCCUGUCCCCUGGAAACCCACUUGAAAAACAGUUUUAGAAAAUGAGGGUUAAGAGAGGUGGAUGGAAACAAAAGUAAUCCAAAUCUGGAAAAGAAAGGAAGAAAUAGGAGAGUUUCUCUUUGGCCCUGAGAUCUCCCAUAUUCAUAGCUUGUCAGGUUUGGUCCCAACAAACCUUACACAGUUGUCAGGUAAAAGAGAGCAUCUUUUGUCCCUUCCGCUUGGCUGAUUUUUAGGAGUCAGUUGUCUGAUGGGUAUUUCUUGCUGUGCCUAAAGCUAUUACUGGUUAUGUUCUUACAGAAGCAGGGUCCCUGAGAUCGGUGCUCAAUAAAGAAUCUCAUUCACCCUUUGGGCUGGACUCUUUCAACUCUACUGCAAAGGUCUCUCCGUUGACUCCAAAGCUUUUUAACAGUCUGUUACUGGGUCCCACUGCCUCCAACAACAAAACUGAAGGCUCCAGCCUUCGAGACCUCCUUCACUCUGGACCCGGAAAACUUCCUCAAACCCCCUUGGAUUCAGGCAUACCCUUCCCCCCAGUCUUCUCAACAUCCUCAUCGGUAAGUGUCCUCUCUACAAUUCUAGGCUUUGCUGCUUUUCUAUGAAAGAACCAUCAAAGAUCUGAUAAUUAGGUUAGAGGUCAUGUGGGUGAUUUGUGUUCUCUAUAUUGUCAAGCUGACAACAUAUCUCUUUUAAGUUUUAGGGUGUUUGAGAUCCGUUUAAGUAGUGAACCUUUUGUACCAUGUUAGGAAGUUAGUAAAAUUAAGACAUUAAAAUAUUUUAGUCAUCAGUGGAAAAGUCAAUACAUUGAUCCAUUUGAUUUUCUUUCAGACUUUUUUUGUGUGUGUGUGGUGCUGGCAACCAAACUCGGGCUCUUAUGCAUGCAGGGCAAGCACUCUAACAGCUGAGCUAUAUUUGCAGCCCCUCAGACAUUAAUUUUUUUUAACUUAGCCAAUACAUUUAUAAUGUUACUAUCUUGGAUAUCUUAUAGAUAUCCUUAAACCUUUAACACAUCUAAAACGAACUCUUGAUCUUCUGCCAAUAUUACUUACACUUCUUUAGUAUCCCUUUCUUGGUUAGUAGCAUCUCUAUCCUUUCAAUUACUUGUCCCCAAAAUCUUGGAAUCAUUUGGUACUUUCCUCUCAUAUAUUUAUUUUUGGUACUGGGGUUUUAACCCAGGGGCGCUUAACCACUGAGCUACAUCCCAAGCCCUUUUUAUUUUAUUUUUUUAUUUUGAGGCAGGGUCUUGUUAAGUUGCUUAAGGACUUGCUAGUUUGUUAGGCUGGCUUUGAAUUUGCUAGUCUUCUGCCUCAGCCUCCUGAAUUUCUGGGAUUACUGGCAAUGUGCACUAUGCCCAGCUUCUCCUUGCUUAUAUUUCAUAUCAAUCUAUCGGUAAAUCCCUUAAUUUGAUCAGAAUAUAUUCAGAAUUUACCUGUUUCUUUCCAGCUCCACCUUUCUUACUAACCUGAGCUGAUAUCCUCUCUUGCCUAAAUUUUUGAAGUAAAUUCCUCAGUAGAAUUCUAUGAGGAAUAGAUUCUGCCCGUUACUGUCUAUUUUCUUUUUUUAAAUAUUUAUUUUUUAGUUGUAGUUGGACACAGUACCUUUAUUUUAUUUAUUUUUACGUGGUGCUGAGUAUUGAACCCAGGGCCUCGCAUGUGCUAAGAGAGCACUCUGCUACUGAGCCACGACCCUAGCCCACAGUCUAUUUUCAACACAGCAGCUCAAGUGGUCUUUUUAAAAUGUAAGUCAAAUCAUGUUCCCUCUACCUAAAAUCCUCCAAGAACUUCCUAUUUCUCUUCAUAAGCUAAACAGAGUCCUCAAAAUGUACUAGAAGUCUUUGACUCUUUCUAGGCCUCUUCUCACUUCUCUGACCUUACCCCUCUUUCCUUCUUGUUCAUUCUGCUUCAGUCAUACCUGUCUGCUUGCUGUUUCUUGAACAUAACCUGGCAUGCUUCCUCUGCUAUAACCCAGUCCCUGCACUUGUUUUCUCCCCCAGAAUUUUCCUCCUAUGUAACCAUUUGGCUGGCUUCAUCAUCAACUUCUUUUCUUCCCUCCUAAAAUGUCACCCUCAGGAAACCUUUCUUUAUACAUCACUCUUUAAAAGUUUAUCACAGUAGAGGUAGGGAUGUAGCUCAGUGGCAGAGGGCUUGGCUAACGUGUGAGGCCCUAGCACCACCAAAAAAAAAAAAAAAAGUUUAUCACAUUAGGCACAAUGGUACAUGCAGCUUGGUAGGCUGAUAGGAAGAUUGCAUGUUCAGGGUCACUCUUAGCAACUUAGCAUAGCCCUAAGCAACUUAGUGAGAUCCUGUCUCAGAAUUAAAAAUUAAAAGGCAAAAGUCCUGGGAAUAUAGCUCAGUGGUAAAUUGCCCCUGGGUUAAAAAUACCCAGCACCAGGCUGGGCGAGGUGGUACAUACCUGUAAUCGCAGCAGCUUGGGAGGCUGAGACAGAAGAAUCAAGAAUUCAAAGCCAGACUCAGCAACUGUGAGGCACUAAGCAACUCAGUGAGACCCUGUCUCUAAAUAAAAUACAAAAAUAGGACUGGGGAUGUGACUUGAUGGUUGAGUACCCCUAAAUUCAAUCCCCAGUACCAAAAAAAAAAAAAGAUACCCAGCACUAAACCGCACUAAACCGCCCCCUGCCUGCCAGAAAAAGUUUAUCACAGUACCAUACUCCACUCAUAACUAUCUUCUCUGCUUGUUUUCAUACCACUAACUACCAUCUUACUAGCUGUUUUAUUUAUUGUCUGUCUUUUGCCUUUCCUAAAAGCACUUUUGAUUGUUUUAUUCACCAAUAUAUUCCUAGUACCACAGAAUUUGAUCCAUAGUCAUGUUUAGUUAACAUUGAAUAAAUGAAUUCACAAGAUAUAAAAAGUUGAAAAAUACAAAAGAGUUAUAGUGAUAAGGCCACCCAUUUCCCUUUCUAGAGGCAACCUUUCUCUUUUGUUUCUUUAGUGUUGGAGAUUACACCCAGGGGCAUUUAACCACUGAGGUACAUCCUCAGCCCUUUAUAUUUAUUUUGAGACAAGGUCUCCAUAAGUUGCCUGGGCUGAUCUUGAACUUGUAAUCCUCCUGCAUGGCUGGAAUUGGAGAUGUGCACCACUGCACCCAACCACCAUUGUUUCUUGAGUGUCAUUUCAGAAAUAUUGUCAUAUAUGCUGUCCCCCCCAUUUACAUAAAUGUUCUACAACUUGCUUUUCUCUCUCUCACUUUAUAUGUCUUGCAGGUCAUUUCAAACAAGUAUAUAAAUAUGUUUCUCAUUCUAUGUUAUGAUUAAUGGCUGAAAUUUGAUGAACUGCAAGUGAUUGAACCUAUACAAUUGGGUUGCUUCUCUUCUGCAAAAGUAACUUAAAAAAAAAAAAGGGCUGGGGUUGUGGCUCAAGCAGUAACACGCUCGCCUGGCAUGUGCAGGGCGCUAGGUUCGAUCCUCAGCACCACAUGAAAAUAAAAUAAAGAUAUUGUGUCCACCGAAAACUGAAAAUAAAUAUUAAAAAAAUUCUCUCACUCUCUCUCUCUAAUUUAAAAAAAAAAAAUAUAUAUAUAUAUCAGUUACUCCUCCUAACCCCUGUUGCCCAUAUUAGGGAUUAGACCCAGUCCUUUUUUUUUUUUUUUGAGUUAUUUUAUUUUUAUGUGGUGCUGAGGAUCCAACCCAGCGCCCCUCGCAUUCCAGGCGAGCGCGCUAUCGCUUGAGCCACAUCACCAGCUCACUGAACUAUCUUUUUAAAAAUUUUUUUUUAAUAUUUAUUUUUUAGUUUUAGGUGGAUACAGUAUCUUUAUUUGAUUUUUAUGUGGUGCUGAGGAUCGAACCAGUGCCUCACACGUGCUAGGCGAGCACUCCACUACUUGAGCCACAACCCCAGCUCCUUUAAAUUUUUUUUCAUUUUAGACAGGUCUCGCUAAGUUGCCCAGGCUAUCCUCUUAUCUUAAGAUCCCCCUGCAUUCGCCUCCUGAAUCACUGGAAUCACAGGCCUGGGCCACCGUGCCUGGCAAAAAUUACUCUAUUUUAUUUGUAUUUGUUCAUAUUCUCAGUUCUUUUAUUUUUUUUAAUUUCUUUUUUUUUUUUUUUAAGAGAGAGAGAGAGAGAAUUUUAACAUUUAUUUUUUAGUUUUCGGCGGAGACACAACAUAUUUGUUUGUAUGUGGUGCUGAGGAUCGAACCCGGGCCGCAUGCAUGCCAGGCGAGCGCACUACCGCUUGAGCAACAUCCCCAGCCCUAAAAUUUUCUUUUAAAUAUUUUUUAGUUGUAGAUGAACACAGUACCUUUAUUUAUUUAUUUGUAUGUGGUGCUGAGGAUCGAACCUAUUGCCUCACAUGUGCAAGGCAAGUGCUCUACUACUGAGCCACAACCGCGGCCCCUUAAUUUCACAUUUUUUUCCAGAAUAUUAUAUGGUUACAUGCCUUAGAGAUUAUGAUUAGUGAUUUUUCAGCAAUAGGAUUAUCAAUAUUACAAAAUCUACACCCCCUUUCAUUCUGUGAUGUACGAAAUGUCACUUUCAUCUGUGGGCUUACGCUUUGCUAUCAGCUGAGAUAGAUGAGAGAUGCAUGAUAAUUCUCUUCAGUUACUUAGGUGAAAUAUCUCCGCUGGCCAGAAAAAAAUUUGGAACUCUCCCCCCCAAAUUAAAUGAUCUUUUUCAAUCAGUUAUAUCAUUUUGUGAACUCUGCAAUCUACAUACCAUAGGUAUUUCUUAGGUCUCAAGUCUCUUGAAGCAAAGGGUUCUUUCUAUACUUUUCUUUCAUAAAUGCAAGAUAAAUAUCAAAGAUAAAGGAAUUUAAGGUACUAAAAAUAUCAACUUUUUGUUCCUCCUCCAAUUGUACAAGAUAUUCUGAUAACUUUUGUGGAAUUUAAUCAGAUAGGUAAGAACUUAGAAAUGGCAACUGUGAUAUGGUUUUUUUUGAAUGCUUUUCUUAUGGCAUCUCAGUCAAGCUUACCUAUGUCUGGCAGGGAGUAAAAAGUAAGGCCAGUCUACCCAACUUUCUUGACCACAUCAUUGCCUCAGUGGUAGAAAAUAAGAAAACCUCAGAUGCUUCAAAGCGGGCCUGCAACUUGACUGAUACCCAAAAGGAAGUGAAGGAGAUGGUGAUGGGGUUAAAUGUGCUAGACCCCCAUACUUCACACUCCUGGCUCUGUGAUGGAAGGCUUCUGUGUCUCCAUGAUCCCAGCAACAAAAACAAUUGGAAGAUUUUUCGAGAGUGUUGGAAGCAAGGCCAGGUAAGUAAGAAUAAAGCUUCUGCCUGCCUGGCAUAGCUAUCAGGAUAAUUCUAGGCUUCUGUGGGAGAUCUUUUGCCAGAGAGAUUUAGACAUAAUAAGUGUAUUGUUGAUUUUCCUUGGUCCUUUUAAGUAUCUUAGAUUUUUAAAAUGAAGGAAUUUCUAAAGGAAAAAGUACAAUCAAGUAUCAUUUUAUUUCUAAGCUGUACAACUCUGUGUUCUUAAAAGGGCAGCUGAAAUUACUGUAAGAUAUUAAACUGGAACUGACAAUACCUCAGGAGGAGAAUCCUUAAAUGUGUUAUUAGGGUGAAGGAAUGGGUAGAAAAGGGUAGUACUUUUCUAGGUCUGUGUUUGAAGGUGUCCCAUAAACUUAUGCAAUAACAAUUGUGAUUUUUAUACUUUAGCAGCUGCUUAAGGAAGGAAGAGAUUAUGGAUUUAUCUAGGUAGUUUUUCACUUAACAUUUGAGGAAGUGUUGAAUUUGUUUGCUUACCUCAAAAUAGUGGUAGAUACCAGAGCAACAGAAGUAUUUCUGCGGCAUGCCUCCCAGAGUAAGAAUCCAAUAUAAUAAUGAAGUAGAAGCGGUUUCCAUUCACUUUAGCUGAUGUGUUAAAAUCCAUAAAUCUGGGCUGGGAUUGUGGCUCAGCGGUAGAGCGCUCACCUAGCAGGUGCGAGGCCCUGGGUUCAAUCCUCAGCACCACAUAAAAAUAAAUAAAUAAAGCUACUGUGUCCAACUACAAUUAAAAAAUAAAUAUUUUUUAAAAAUCCAUAAAUCUUAAAAUUGUAAAAGAACAAUAAUUUUGUAGAGAAGAGCUCUCCCUAGGAAACCCUCCUGUUCAGUCCUUUAGCCAUGGAAUUAACAGUAUUUCCUAAAUGGCCCUGAUUAUAUUUUUGUUUCCACAGCCAGUGCUGGUUUCAGGAGUACAUAAAAAGCUCAAGUCUGAACUCUGGAAGCCAGAAGCCUUUAGCCAGGAAUUUGGAGACCAGGAUGUGGAUUUGGUGAACUGCAGGAAUUGUGCUAUAAUUUCUGAUGUGAAAGUUCGGGAUUUCUGGGAUGGCUUUGAGAUAAUAUGCAGUAAGUAGCAUUGAUAUCUAGUUGACUAAUGGCAGAGUGGGAAGCAUCUAUAUGCCAGCUCUGUCCCUGCAAUAACAGAUCAUAUCCUCUUGGUGGAAGGAACCUUCUGUCUGGUGCUAAACAUUUAGCUUGCAUGGCAAUCCUAUGGCUUCCCAAAAUAGUCCAGGCUUUAGCCUGUAAGACCAUAGGGAAUGUGGAAUAUUUUUACUCAGAGGAAACCAGAUAUAAUCUUAUAAAAUGGAGAAACAUGGCAAGUGGGUAGGAAAACAAAGCCCACCUAAUCUAGUCCAUUAUGUGGACUAGGUUUAUAAAUCUGAAAUAAGAACUUUUAUCUCAUACAUAAUCACUGGAAAAAUUUGGGGAGUAACCAACCCCACAGAUGUUUGUGAGAAUACUGUCUCUCUUCCAGAACGACUAAGAUCAGAAGAUGGGCAGCCAAUGGUGCUCAAACUCAAGGACUGGCCUCCUGGGGAAGAUUUUCGGGACAUGAUGCCAACAAGGUUAGUUGUUGUCUGGGCCAUCUUCUGAGAUUCGUGCCUUGCCAAAGCCAUCACAGAAUAAUUACAUAAUCCCAGACAAGUGAAUUUUGCCUCUUUGCUUUCUUGCCCUAUAAUAGCUAAGUUUUCUAUCCUACUGUUUUGUAGGUUUGAAGAUCUGAUGGAGAACCUUCCUCUGCCGGAAUAUACCAAACGAGAUGGCAGGCUCAAUCUGGCCUCUAGGCUACCCAGCUACUUUGUAAGGCCUGAUCUAGGACCCAAGAUGUACAACGCCUAUGGUAUGAGGGAGAGGCCAGAAUUGCCCCUUUGGGGGAUUGCUCAUUUUACUUACAGAAGAUCUUUGGUCAGGGUCAUGAGUAAAGAUGAUUGAGGGCAAGUGACAGGUACUACAGAAGUUAAGGUAUCCAGGAUGGUUUUGAAUAUGUUUGCUUUGUCAUACUGAUUUGUGUAAAAUGUACGUGGGCCUAGUCUAUAAGCUAUAUGUUCCCAGGAAUUAGAUCAUUUCCUCUCAAAAAUUGUACUCAGGGAGACAUAUUCUUAGUUUUGAUAAGGCUCUGAGGUUGUGGCUCAGUGGUAGAGCGCUCACCUAGCAUGUGCGAGGCCCUGGGUUCGAUCCUCAGCAUCACAUAAAAAUAAAUAAAAACAAAGGUACAACUAAAAGAAAUAAAUAUUUAAAAAAAAAAAAAAAACUUGAUAAAAUAGCAAAAAAGGCUCAAUACCAAGGGCUGGAGAUGUGACUCAUUGUUAGUGUGUGUGCCUAGCAUGAGCCAACAAGGUAGUGAGCAUGAGCUCACUAACAUGAGCAAGGCCCUGGGUUCAAUCCCAACCCUGCAAAAUGAAAAAAACAGAUACCAUGCCACCUGUCUAUUACUUUGUAAAGUAUAGAAAUAACCUAAAUCACUGUGUAAGUUGAGCUAAUGCCCAUAGUGAAUGUCCCUAAUGCCCAUAUCUGUUUUGCUUUUAAAGGAGGGACCAUUUUCAGGGAGUGGAUUAAUUCUAUGGCUAAAGCUAAUGAUAGUGUCACCCAUGCUAGAAAUUAAUGUUAGACAGUAUAAGAGAGAUGAAAAGAAUGAUUUUUUUGUUUAUUUGUUUGUUUGCUUGCUUGCUUGCUUAUGGUGCUGGGUAUCAAAUCCAGGGAAUCAUGCUUGCUAGAAAAGUACUCUACCACUGAACUACACCCCUAGCCCCUGGGAUUUCUUGAUAAAUGGAACAGACAUACUUCACUCUCCAGUGGUACUCAUUUGAGAAUGUCCUUGAGUAUAUUUUCAGUUUUAGGCUCUCUGUGGAUUCUUCAGAAUAUUUCCCCUUCACCUUGCAUAUUUUCCUUAACCCUUUAGGCUUGAUAACUGCAGAAGACAGAAGAGUUGGCACAACAAAUCUUCACUUAGAUGUGUCUGAUGCCGUUAAUGUGAUGGUGUAUGUUGGGAUCCCCGUCGGGGAGGGUGCUCAUGAUGAAGGUAUGUUUUCUAGAAAAACUGCUUUAGGUGAUGAGACUUGGCUUCCAGGAAGAACUGAGUGUUUACCUCCUUAGUCAGGAACAGUGGCUUUUUUUUUUUUCUUUCUUUCUUUCUCUUUAUUUCCCCAGUGACUUUUUCUUAAGUUUCUACCAGGCCUGAUAUGUAGUAGGUGCCUAGUGAAUGUUGCUAGAGAAAAAGAAGUUCUAGCAGAGAAGAAUGCUACUUGUGUAUCUUUGACCAAGGGGUAGCCUCACAUGAGGAAUGAAGAAAGGACAAACCCAUCUACUUGGCCCAUCCGCCAGAUCAGCUCUGGAGUGACAGAUGUAAAGCGGGGGUCACCUGAAGCAAAAGGACCUGGAGAUAUAGCUUAGUUGGUAGAGUGCUUGCCUUGCAUGCACAAAAUCCUGGAUUCAAUCCCCAGCAUCACAAAAAAAGAAAAAAAAAAAAGCGAAGCAUAAAAGUGAUAUUUUGCUGUAAUUGCCCUCUUUUGCAAUAUUUUAUGCUGCCUAAAUGUUUAUCUCAAGACACUAAAAAGGGUGUGAUCCCCAUUGUAUUUAAGGGCCAGCUGGGUAGGACAUCUUGGAGAUCAGCUCAAAUCUCAGUGUUAAAAUUAAUGUGUGUGCCUGGGCAUGGUGACUCAUGCCUGUAAUCCCAGUGGCUCUAGAGGCUGAGUCAGGAGAAUUCCAAGUUCAAGACCAGCCUCAGAAACUUAGUGAGUCCCUGUCUCAAAUAAAAAAUAAAGGGAGUGGUGGUGAUGUGACUCAAUGGUUAAACACCAUUGGGUUCAAUCCUUGGCCAAAAAAUAAAAUAAAAUAAAUGAGUUCCUUGUGGAAGUUUCAGAAAAAUGAGAACAGUUUUGAAAAAUAACUUGAAAUGUCAAGGUUUAGGAAUAAUCAGUAUUAUUACUUUGGCAUUUCUUAUUCUGUUGUUAGAUUUGAUGCUACACACCUGUAGGCCUUUCCAUUAUGUUGUGGUUUCUUGUGGAUUAUAAUAGACAGGUAUUAGAAGCUAACCUUCUUAAUUUGCCAGAGAAGCUUUAUGCUUUGUGGACUUAAAUCAGCAAAAUCCUAGAGUUUCAAGUGGUCUUGCAAAAAUGUAUAGAAUCCCCCUACUUUCAGUAGGAAAUAACCCACAAGUUAAACAUAAGAAAUAGCUAUUCAUUUUGAGCAAGAAACAUUUUUUAAAGAAACUACCACAGGGGCUGGGGAGAUAGCUGAGUGGUAGAGCACUUAGCAUAUGCAAGUCCCUAGGUUCAAUCCCCAGCACCAGAAAAAAUAAAAAUAAACAAAAAAUGUCUACAAUUUUUUUCUUUUUUCUUUUUGGUGCUGGGGAUUGAACCCAGGCCUUGUGCAUGCGAGGCAGGCACUCUACCAACUGAGCUACAUCCCCAGCCCUACAAAUAUUUUUUUUAAAAAGAAACUACCACAGGCUGGGUAUGUCACUCAGCUGGAAAACAUUUGCCUAGUGUACAUGAGGCUCUGAGUAUGAUUCCCUAGGACUGCAGAAGAAGAAACUAGAUUACCAAAAAUAUUGAGUCUCUGUUAAGUAAAGAAAGUUUAGAGUUAUUCUUCCCUGUGGGUAGGGAGCUUAGACCAAUACAAAUUUUGCUAUUUCUUUUUGGUGGAGGAAGGGGAUACUGGGGAUUAAGCCCAGGGGUGCUUUACCACUGGGCUACAUUCCAAGUCCAAUCUCUCUUUCUAUUUUUGGUGCUGGGGAUUGAACCCAGGGGCACUUUACCACUGAACUACAUUCCCAGUCCUGUUUGUUUUGGUACCAGGGAUUCGACCUAGGGGUGCUUAAACACUGAACCACAUCCCUACCCCUUCUUUGUAUUUUCUUUAGAGACAGGGUCUCACUUUAGAGUUGCUUAGGGCCUCGCUAAAUUGCUGAGGCUGGCUUUGAACUUUCAAACCUCCUGCCUCAGCCUCCUGAGCUGUUGGGAUCAUAGGCAUUGUACAGACAUGUGCCACUGUGUCCGAUUUAAUUUUUUAUUUUUGAGAUAGUGUUUUGCUAAAUUGCUGAGACUGGCCUUACACUUGAGAUCCUCCUGAGUCAACCUUCAGAGUUACUGGAAUUAUAGGCAUGUGUCACUGUGCCCAGCUCAUGAGUUUUGAUUUUUUGCUAUGUAACUCCAGAGAGAUAGAGAAAAGACCAAACUUGUUUGAUUUGGACAUUGUAUUUCACUCAGAAAUACUGAAAUAACUAGUUACAUUGAAAUUGUCAUUUUGCUCAUUUCAGAGGUACUCAAGACAAUUGAUGAGGGGGAUGCUGAUGAGGUGACGAAGCAAAGGAUCCAUGAUGGAAAAGAGAAGCCAGGCGCAUUAUGGCACAUCUAUGCAGCCAAGGAUGCAGAGAAGAUCCGGGAGCUGCUUCGAAAGGUAUGCCUCUUGGUGAAAUGUGCUCCCAACUCUCAAAUUAAGAGUCUAGAGGGGCUGCAGAUAUAAUUCAGUUGGUAGAGUGCUUGCCUUGCAUGCAAAGGCCCUGGGGUUUGAUCCCCAGCACCAAAAAAACAAAUAAACUAAAAAAAGUGUAGAGACUGAGACAACCUGUCCAAGAUUUUUCAUGUGGAGUCCCUAGGUAUUAAAGACCUAGUGGCCAUGUACGUCUUAUCAGAAUACCCAGAAAAUCUGAGUCAGACUUCGAGCAUAUUGAAUAGAGUAAACCAGAAACUUUGGGCUUUGCCAGAAACACUAAUGUAGCAAGUUGGAUUUAUCCUGUUACUGAUUUUUAUGUAUGACAGCACAAUGAUGCACAUCUGUAAUCCCAGCUACUUGGGAGGCUGAGACAGGAGGAUGGCAAGUUCAAGGCCAGGCUGGGCAAUUUAGCCAGACCCUGUCUCAAAAAAAAAAAGGGAAGGAAGAAAGAAUGAAUGAAUGAAUGAGGGUGGUGAUAAAGCACAGCACUAGAGUAUUGUUUAGUGUGCACAAGGCCCUGAGUUCAAUUCCUGGUGUCAACAACAACAAAAAAUGUAUUUACAGUAGUUUCCCCUUAUCCAAAGGGAAAACAUUCAAAGACCCUCACUUGAAACCACAAAUAGUACCAGACCCUUUAUAUAUUUUCGUUUUUGCCUAUACAUACAUACGUAUGAUAAAGUUUAAUUUACAAACAAGGCACAGUAAGAGAUUAACAAUAACUCAUCAUAAAAUAAAACAGUAUAACAACAUACUAUAUUUAAUUUUUUAAUUUUGAGAUAGGCUGUCUCUAAGUUACUGAGGCUGGCCGGUAACUUGGGAUCCUCCAGCCUUGGCUUCCCAGGUAGCUGGGAUUAUAGGCAUGUAACACCACACCUGGCAUCUAAUUGUGCUUUACCUUUUCACUUUAUGGCUUCUCUGCCAUAUCAGAAUUGCAGCAUCACUGCUUUUGAACUUUGGGUGAUUAUUAGGUAAAAUAAAUAAAAUAAGGGUAUGUGAACACAAGCAUGGUGAUACUGUGAUAGAUAGUUCCUUUGAUAAUGGACAGUAGAAUAGACAGCCAACAUUCAUACUCUGGACAAAGUGAUGAUUCAUGUUCAAGGUGGCAUGGAGCUGUGGAUUUCAUCACACAGUACUCAUAACAGCACACCAUUUAAAACUUAUGAAUUAUUUCUGGAUUGAUUUAUUGAUUGAUUGAUUGGUACUAGGACUUAGAUUCAGGGGCACUUGACUACCAGCCCUGUUUUAUUUUGUUUAGAGACAGGUUCUCACCGACUUGCUUAGGACCUUACUUUUGCUGAGACUAGCUUUGAACUUGAGAUCCUCCUGCCUCAGCUUCCAGAGCCACUGGGAUUACAGGUGUACACCACUGUACCCAGCUAUUUCUGGAAUUUUUCAUUUAAUAUUUUUAGACCAUGACUGAUUAUGGAUAGCUAGAAUCACAGAAAAUAAAACUAUGACUAAGUGACUAAUUUUUAAAGAGAGAGAGAGAGAAGAGACAGAGAAUUUUUUUAAAUAUUUUUCAGUUUUUGGUAGCCACAAUAUCUUUAUUUUAUUUUUAUGUGGUGCUGAACCCAGCGCCCCACGCAUGCCAGGCGAGCGCGUUACCACUUGAGCCACAUCCCCAGCCCCAAUAAGUGACUAUUAAUCUUUCUAUUUUUGCAUUUUGAUCAUGGCUUCAGGUUGGAGAAGAACAAGGCCAAGAGAAUCCCCCCGAUCAUGACCCAAUUCAUGACCAAAGUUGGUACCUGGACCAGACUCUCCGUAAGCGUCUCUAUGAGGAAUAUGGUGUGCAAGGCUGGGCCAUUGUGCAGUUCCUGGGUGAUGCUGUCUUCAUACCUGCAGGAGCCCCACACCAGGUAUUUUCUAAAUUGGGGUUGGGCUCUACAGCUCCAUGGGCUUCUUUAUGUCUGCUUCUCUUUCUAAUCUGACAAGAGAGAUAAAUGGCAGAAUUCGACUGAUUGCUUCACCAUACCACAACUUACUAUUUUGCUUUUUAAUUUUCUUCCUUAUAAUUUUAUUUAUUUUCAUAGGUAUGUGAACAUAAGCACGGUGAUACUGUGAUAGUUCCUCUGAUAACAGAGAGCUAGUGGGUAAUUAAUGGGCAGUAGUAUAGACAGCCAACAUUCUUUCUUUCAAAAGGACUGAAUUUUGGAAGUAAGAUUAGAAAAUAUAUGGUCCUCUUGUGUCCAAAGAUAUGUAUGCAAUUGGCUUGAUUAGUAUUUUUAUGCCUGUUGAUGUUAGUUAAUUUGCAUCCUUAGGUAUUAAUUUUUGAUAGCAUAUGCCCACAAAAAGAUUUGUAUGCCUGUAUUCACAGAAGUUUUAUUCUUGUCAAAAUUGGAAAUUACCCUAAUAUUCAUCAGUAGGUAAAUGUACAAUCCAGUUGUAGUUUAUCAAUAUGGUAAAAUGCCACCCAGGAGUGUACAGAAACAGAUUACAACAGAUCUGUUCCAUUAUAUUGGUCACAGAAUAAUCUUAUUAUGAGAGUACUACACACACAAAGGUAUGAAGGCUGUGACUACCAGAAGGUUGGGAUUAUUUUAGAGGUUGACUGCUACAGGUAUUUUUAAGAGGCAAAUACCUAAUGGGUAGUAGGGAAUGCAAUAUAGGGUGUCUGGAGUAGGGCAGAUAAGUGAGGCUUGGAAGAAAGGUCACUGUUAGAUUAUGAUGAGAAAUUUGACUAUGUGGCAGAAAUAAAACCAGCAUUAUUGCCAGGCACAGUGGUGCAUGCCUGGUAAUCCCAGCUACUCAGGAGGUUAAGGCAAAAGGAUUGAAAGUUUUAAGCCAGCCUGAGAAACUUAGCUAGAUCCUGUCUCAAAAAUAAAUAACUCAAAAAAUGUAGCUUAGUGGUUCAGCACUUGCCUCACAUUUGUGAGGCCCUGGAUUCUAUUCCUCAGUAUUGCGGGGAGAGGUUAAGACUUGCAUUGUCCAAAAUUAAUUGUAAAGGAACUCAUCUGCAACAAUGAGAUUGCAGAUAAUGUGGGAUUAAUCUCUUUCAAAAGGACUGAAUUUUGGAAGUAAGAUUAGAAAAUAUGUUGUAGUCCUCUUAUGUCCAAAGAUAUGUAUGCAAUUGGCUUGAUUAGUAUUUUUAUGCCUGUUGAUGAUAGUUAAUUUGCAAAUUGUAUUGUCAACACACUUUUUAAUCUGCUCUGAGCAGCUCAUAAAUAAGAUUCCUUGUAAUUUUAAGUCUUAUUUCAAAUUUUUCUGACUUUUUCUCCCCCCCGACCCCUCCACAGUGCUGGGGAUUAAACCCAGGGCCUCACACAUACUAUGCAGGCUCUCCACUACUGAACUGAGUCUCUAGCCCCUUUGUUUUAAAAUUUUUGUUUUUGGAAGUAGGGGUCAAACCAAGAGGUUCUUUACCCAUAAGGUAUAUCUCCAGACCUUUUAUUUUUUAUUUUGAGACAGGCUCUUGUUAAGUUGCCCACACUGGUCUUGAGUAGCUGACCAUGUACCACCAUCGUACCCAGCAAACAUUUUUAUUUAUAAUUUAUAUGUUUGCACUUACAAUGUCUCUGUAUUUUUAUUAUCAAAAUGAAGAACUAGAUGUGGUGGUCCCAACUGCUCAGGAGGCUGGGGUCAGAGGGUCACUUGAGCCCAGGAGUUCAAGGCAAGCCUGGGCAUCAUAAGAGUCUCCAAAAAAGAAAAAAAAAAAAAGGCAGGGAAUGGAUAUAUUAUGUGGAUGUUUUGUUUGUUUUUUAUUAUCAUAGACAUUUUCCAUGAGUUAUUGAUCUCUAAUGUCUGACGUUUUACCUCUGUACUCCCUCACCCCUACCACUGCCCCCAGGUUCACAAUCUAUACAGUUGCAUAAAAGUAGCAGAAGACUUUGUAUCUCCAGAACACGUGAAGCACUGUUUCCGCCUGACUCAGGAAUUCAGGCAUCUCUCCAACACUCAUACAAAUCAUGAGGAUAAACUGCAGGUAAAUAACUUCUCCUUCACCUCACACUGUCAUUUCUUCACAUGCUCACAUACUACACAGAAGGCACAUUCUCCUCUCUGAGGGUAUUCUCUAGUUGUCUGAUAGGAGGAAGAAUGACACAGGGAAUUCCACCUCGACCUAUGGAGUCUUCCUUUCAGAAACACCUUAUCAGUCCUCAGUUCUCUUCAGUUGUGCUCUUAACCUAAUCAUCUUUUAACCUAAUCAUUUCCAGCUGGGCAUGGUGCCACAUGUCUAUAAUCCCAGUGGCUCGGGAGACUGAGGCAGGAGGAUCGAAAGGCCACCCUCAGCAACUUAAUGAGAUCCUAUCUCAAUAUAAAAAGGGCUGGGGAUGAGACUUAGUGGUAAAGUGCCCCUGAGUUCAAUCCCACUACCUCCCCCAUGCCCCCCCCCAAAAAAAAAACCUCAUUUCCAGCAUGACAGCCCCUGUUUCUCUACCCUUGGAAUGUAUAAUGUUUCUUUGUUUUGGGGGUUUUUUUUAAUUUUUUGGAGUCAUAGAUGGACAUAAUACCUUUAUUUUAUUCAUUUAUUUGUAUGUGAUGCUGAGGAUCAAACCCAGUGCUUUACACAUGGUAGGCAAGCACUCUACCACUAAACCACAACCCAGCCCAGGUAUAGUGUUUUGAACUUUAGUAACUGACUUAGACACACCUCCCUGGUCAGCACUAAGGCAGUGUAAGAAGAGAUACAGACCUAAAACUGUUUCUUAUAGCAAAGUUCUGUGCAGAUUCAAAUUUUUAUAGCUGUCCUAGGGAUUGCAGUUCCUAUCCCUGAGAAUUGCAUUUGUAGGGGUGAAAAUUGUUUUCCCCUUAUAUAAUUGAACUGGAUGUUCAGAUUAGGAUUUUUGUGGUCUUGAAAUGGAUUGGAAUUUUAAGGACAAUUUCAUUAUUAAUUCACUUCAGUAACAAAAAGAAUAAAGAAACAGGAUUCUCCAUGCAGAAGAUUUAAUAGUUUGAAUAUACACUCUCCCCAUCUUUCACUUCUGGCCUCUUCUUCUGUUAUGCCUAUUUCAUUUCUGUCUUCUUUAGUUGAUGACAAAUCAGGUUGGAAGAAAUUUUGUUGUUGUUGUGUUGUUGUUGUUUAAUUGCUGGUAGGUUUAAUCACCUUCAACUCUGAGCUUGACCUGCUUUUCAUUUUUCAAUAUUUGAAACUCAUCAGCUGGGUGAUGGACAUACCUGUAAUCUAGCCAUUCAGGAGGCUGAGAUAGGAAGAUUGCAAAUUGGAGGCCAGCCUGGGCAACUUAACAACACCCUGUCUAAAAAUAAAACAUUAAAAAGGUCUGGGGGUGUAGCUUAGUGGCAGUGUGCUCCUGGGUUCCAUCCCCAGUACCAGGGGAAAAAAUUCAAGGAACAUUUCAACCAUUAAAUUCUUACACAAAGUAUAAUCACAUUAGUAUUAUAGAUAUAAUACAAAUAUUCAAACAUACAUAUUUCAGAUAUCACCUCAGUCUCUACUUGUAAUAUAUCACCUUAUCUGUAAGGCCUUUCUUGACCCUGUUGGGCACUAUUGUGCCCGCCUGUUUGCUUUAUUUUUUAUAUUUUUUUAUAUUGAUUUCUGCUUCACCACUCCAAUCCCCUUCUAUUGUCUCAGUUUCUUCUGUAGUAGUUUUCAUCAUCUGAUAUGGUAUAUACUUUAUCUGUUUGUCACUAUUCCUUCUCAAAUGUAAGUUAUUUAAGCUCUGUGAAGGCAGGAAUUUUAUUGUUUUGUUUGUUUUUGCAGUACUAGGCAUUGAACCUAGAGCCUCGCACAUGCUAAGUAAUAAGUGCUCUACCAUUGAACUACAUUUCCAGCUCUUAUUUUUAUUUUGAGAUAGGGAUCUGGCUAAAUUGCCCAGGCUAGACACAAAUUUGUUAUCCUCCAGUCUCAGCCUCCCAAGUAGCUGAGAUUACAGGUGUACACCACCACACCUGGCUUUGCUAUUUUAUUCACUGCUGUCCUUAGCAUGAUGGCUGGCACAUAGUAGGUACUCAGUAAAUAUUUAUUGAAGUAAUAAAAAAAAAAAUAGAGACUAGCACAAGGGAGAUUUGUGUGCCCACUACAAAGUGCCCCUUAUGUUUUAUGAAAUGAUAUUAUAUAUGUAUACAACCUACAACAGUUACAUUGUUGAAUGUAUUCUUCCCCUUUCCAUUUCUCCAUUUUCCCUCCAUAGAGAUAACCACAGUCUUGGGGCUAGGGAUAUAGCUCACUUGGUAGAGUGUUUGCCUCACAUGCACAUGCACAAGGCCCUGGGUUUGAUCUCCAACACCACCAAAAAAAAAGGAGAUAACCACAAUCAUCAUGUCAUUCCUUUUUUAAAAACUGUCUUUAAGCUGGGUGCGGUGGUGCAGGUGCACACCUGUAAUCCCAGCAACUCGAGGGGUUGAGCCUGGAUGGAGGAUCACGAGUUCAAAACCAGCCUCAGUAAUGGGGAGGCACUUAGCAACUCAGAGUCUCUAAAUAAAAUACAAAAUAGGUCAAGUGCCCCUGAAUUCAAUCCCUGGUAUCCUCCCCCCCCCCAAAAAAAAAACAAACCUGUCUUUAGCCUGUUUGCUUGCUUGCUUGCUUGCUUUUUUUAUCUUUGGUACUGGGGAUUGAACCCACGGGUGUUUAAUCACUGAACAACAACAAACAACAACACAGCCCUUUUUUAUAUUUUAUUUAGAGACAUGGUCUCUCUCGCUGAGUUGCUUAGGGCCUCACUAAGUUGUUGAGGCUGGCUUUGAAUUUGAAAUCCUCCUGCCUCAGCCUCUGGGAUUUCAGGCAUGUACUAUUGUGCCUGCCUGUUUGCUUUAUUUUAAUAACUUUUUAAUUGUGUCUUCCAACUUCACAUGUAACACUUGUUCCUUUUAGGCAAAUUAAAACAUACAUAUAGGAUUGGGAUUUUGACUCAGCGGUAGAAUGCUCGCCCUAGCACAUGGGAGGUGCUGAGUUUGAUCCUCAGCACCACAUAAAAAUAAAUAAAUAAAAUAAAGGUGUUGUGUCCAGUUACAACUAAGAAAAAUAGAUAUAAAGGAGCCAGGCUUGGUGGCGCAUGCCUGUAUCCCCAUGGCUCGGGAGUCUGAGAUAGGAGGGUCAUGAGUUCAAAGCCAGCCUCAGCAAUGGCAAGGCGCUAAGCAACUCAGUGAGACCCUGUCUCUAAGUAAAAUACAAAAAAGGGCUGGGGAUGUUGCUCAGUGGUUAAGCACCCUAGGUUCAAUCCCCAGUACAAAAAAAAAAAAUUCAACAUACCAAUAGUACAAAACUACACAGCAUUAUAAGUUAUUUCCCCCCUUCCCCUUCCACUGUUCAUUGCAUCCUUAUUAGCUUUAGGACUUCGGCAAGAUUCUUUACCUUGGAACCUGUAUUUCCUCAGUUUCUCACCUAUAAAAUGGAGAUGAUAAUAGAUAUUAAUCUACCUCAUAGGAUUAUGGCAAGGAUUAAAUGAAAAUCCAUAUAAAUAACUUAGUAAUAGUACCCAGCACAUAGAUAAUGGUGAUUGUAUAGCCUUUCAAGUGAUUGUAUCAUUCUUUCUUAAAUACAGACCUGUAGCUGGGUUUGGUGGCACACACCUAUAAUCCUGGUGAUUUUGGGGAGGCUGAGUUAGGAUUACCAGUUGGAGGCUAGCCUCGAAAGACUCUGUCUCAAAAUAGAACGGGCAGAGGAUAUAACUCAGUGGUAGCUACAGGGUGUUCAGUCCCUGGUACGGCAAGGAAAAUAAAUACAUGGAGAACUUACAUUGUGCACAAUUUAUAAAUCCUGGUGGGGAGUGAUUUAGGAAGCAUGCAGUCAUUUCUUCACCAGUUGGCUUAGAAUCAGAGUAGAACUUUACAUUUGUGUUUGUGGAACACAAAAUGGAGCUGCAUUCAACUGACAGUGCUAAUUACUCUCCAGGUGAAGAACAUCAUUUACCAUGCAGUGAAAGAUGCUGUUGGUACCCUCAAGGCUCAUGAAUCCAAACUGGCAAGGUCUUAGGCACGGAGAAAUUCCAAGCUCCCUUGUGAAGCAGGUCUUUUCACUCAACACUUACAGGGAACCACAGGGUUCUCUGCUGGAGCAGAGGCCCUUCACCUGGAGCCAGUGUGGUCAGUAUUACAAACUCUCCAGCCACUCUUUCUACGCUGCCUCAACACUGAAGGUUGACACAGGAAAGUCGCACUGUUCACACACACAGUUUCUGACUCCAAGCCAAGGGUGCCACAUCCCCAGCCAGUGGCCUUUUGGGAACCCGGAUUGCCUGAACAUCGAUAGGCUUUCCUGCAUUAUUCUCUGACUUGAGAUCAUGGAAUCCAGGAAUGUGGGCACACUUUUCUUUUCCUCUUGUGCCUCGUUAAGUGGGGAUGUGUUUGGAGGUAGAGGGAAUCAUGUAACUGGUACAAGUAGGGGUGAUUGCUUAAAUAUGCCUGGUGGAAGCCUGACUGUCUCUGCACAUGACCUCUGACAUGGCCUGCCCCAGGAGAUGGGGUACAGCUAUUCCCCACACUCUCCCAUGAACACUGGAGUCUUACAGGACCCAGGGAGAACCCACUGCUUUUCCCAGGAGGCUCCAGGAUUAGGAAAUGUGUGUAUUUAGUGAAAAAUAGGUUUGUAGUGAAAUAGUUACUAUUUCAUGAAAGUAGAUAUUUUUAGAAUUUUUGAAAUACCACAGUUGUUUUCCUGGAUUAUGAGGAAAGGCACAUUACAUUUAGUCUUCCUUUCGAUAAAACUCUUUGAAGAAAUAUGAUUUUUAGAAAUCAGUUGCCCAUUAUAGCACAAAAUUAGCCAAAGCAGAAUUUAAAAGAAUUGGCUUUUUAGAAUUCUUUUAGUUUCUCCCUCUCCCCUCUCAGUCUUAUCUUGAGGGAACAGUCAUCUGAGAAAGAACUUUGUCAUGUCUGAGCUGUGGUGUGUCCCCACAUAUACAUACACACUGGUGACUCCAGGAACCAUUUUCACCUAUUACCAGCGUUCCCUUGGGACUCCUCAUUUCCAAAUGCUAAGGAAAGUUUGAUUUCCAACAUGAAGGUUUUUGUUUUUUGGGUUUUUGUCCUGAAAUAUUUUCAGCAAAACUUUCCAACUCAGUGGAGUUUUUAUUAAAAAUUUAUUUGAAAAUGAUGGAAUUCAUUGGCCCAUAGGUACAUUGGGAAAUGUAUCUCUUUCCAGCUGUACUGUAGUGCCCUGCAGGCUUGUUUAUAUGUUCACAAUUACUUUUUUUUUUUUUUUAAUAAAAGUCAUUUACUGUAGAAUACUUUUAAUUUCACUUUCUGUAUUUUAAUUUUGUCGAAGGGCUGAUUGGGAUUUCCAUGUUCUUAUUAAAAAUCUAACAAAUCUGUUUGGAGUGGACUAAAUUCUUCCUGUGGACCAACCCUUUUAAAGUCAAGGCCAUAUUGAGGGCUGGUUUAGAGGUGGGUUUUCAUUU